ACACACACACAUAUAUAUAUAUAUAUACUUGUAUACGACAGGCUUCUUUCAGUUUCCGUCUACCAAAUCCACUCUCAAGGCUUUGGUCGGCCCGAGGCUAUAGCAGAAGACACUUGCCCAAGGUGCCACACAGUGGGACUGAACCCGGAACCAUGUGGUUGGUAAGCAAGCUACUUAUCACACAGCCACUCCUACGCCUAUAUUUGUUUACAAAUAUUGACAACACGUGCUAUUUUCAGGAUGUUGACAAAAUGUGAAGUCACGCAAAAAAUGACAGCUUCCAAAUCCUGUUACCUGACCAGGUGAAAAUGAUUACACUUUAAACCUCUAUAACUUUCUAAAAACAUUUUUCUGGGGGAAAAAAAUUAAAUAUCUCCAGCAAUUCAAUCUGGGCUAGUGUACUAUUGUGUCAAGUUUUUUAAGUUUUCGGUAAACUUUAAUUUUUGAAAUGCUUGUAGCCAAACCGAUACUCUUGGUGUAAAUUUUAACAAUUUUGAAAACUAAAACUUAUUAAAGAAAAAAACAGUGAAGAACAAUUAUAUAUUCAGCGUGACACUUUAACGCGCCCAGCCGCUCCCUUCGUAAUAUUACUUACAGCUUACCAAUUUAAUUGUUUAAACUUUUGUGCUUUUUAUUUGUCAGCAUUCUUGUUAACACUUCUCCGCUUUCUCCUCCCCCAAACAUUUUUUCAUUGCUCACUGCGUUCUUACUAACACCUAUCCUCUCUCUCCUCAUUUUCUUACUUCUGCAUGCAUCAAUUCAACUGACCGAAGUCCUGCUACUAAUUUUAAUCGUACACUACUUCUUCUCACACUGUACUGCCGCCACCCUUUGGACACCACUUCUUCACUCAUUUCAUUUUGUCACAUUCAUUCUUGUAAUUAAGAAGUUCACAACUACUUUUGCUGACGUAUUGUCUGCAUUUCUUUUUUUUGUGUGUGGAGAGUCCUUACCCGACUAGUAUAAUACUUAUUCCGUGGAGGCGCAAUGGCCCAGUGGUUAGGGCAGCGGACUCGCGGUCAUAGGAUCGCGGUUUCGAUUCCCAGACCGGGCGUUGUGAGUGUUUAUUGAGCGAAAACACCUAAAGCUCCACGAGGCUCCGGCAGGGGAUGGUGGUGAUCCCUGCUGUACUCUUUCACCACAACUUUCUCUCACUCUUACUUCCUGUUUCUGUUGUACCUGAAUUUCAAGGGGCCGGCCUUGUCACUCUCUGUGUCACGCUGAAUAUCCCCGAGAACUACGUUAAGGGUGCACGUGUCUGUAGAGUGCUCAGCCACUUACACGUUAAUUUCGCGAGCUGGCUGUUCCGUUGAUUCGGAUCAACCGGAACCCUCGUCGUCGUAACCGACGGAGUGCUUCCAUCCAAUACUUAUUCCAUGUUUAUUAUUUAAUGUAGUCAUUUCUCUUCAAAUGUUUUGUAUACGUACGGUACUGUGUGUAUUUAAAACAUAUUCUCAUGCUUAUAAACGGAUAUAGUAAUUUAUAUUUUUGAAAUAUUUUUUCGAAAAAAAAAAUAUUUGGAAUAUAUCCUAAUUUAUAAAUUGGAAGCCAACGGGAAAAUACUUUGGGUUACAGAAUUCCACAUUACGGCAAUAUUUUCAGAAACAUAGCGCUUCUGAAAAACAGAAGAUGCCUGUAUACAUAGACGUGGCUGUGUGGUAGUAAGAAGCUUGCUUCCCAACCACAUGGCUCUGGGUUCAGUCCCACUGCGUGGCACCUUGGGCAAGUGUCUUCUGCUAUAGCCUCGGGCCGACCAAAGCCGUGUGAGUUGAUUUGGUAGACGGAAACUGAAAGAAACCUGACGAAUAUAUGUAUAUGUAUAUAUUUGUGUCUGCGUUUUCACCCUACCGCCGCUUGACGACCGGUGCUGGUGUGUUUAUGUCUCCGUAACUUAACGGUUCAGCAAAAGAGGCUGACAGAAUAAGUACUAGGCUUUUAAAAAGAAGUCCUGGGAUCGAUUUGUGCGACUAAAACCCCUCAAGGCGGUGCCCCAGUGUGGCCGCAGUCAAAUUACUGAAACAAGUAAAAGAAAAAAAAAACGUCUAGGUGUGUAUAUACAUGUAUGUCCAGUUAUGUGUCUGUAUGUAUAUGUGAGUAUAUAUAUAUGUGUGUGUGUGUGUGUGUGUGUGUGGAAUUUAUUUCAAAAUGUAGUCAAUUUUUUGUCUAUUUUUCUUAUGAAUAUUUUUCUUAUGAAUAUAAUAGAAAAAGAAUGAGGUUAAGUUAGGUGGGUGCUUGUGGUAAUUUGGUGCUGAGAUUUUUGGAACUAAAACAAUUGUUAUAAAAUAAUAAAAAAAGGGAGAACUAAAUAAAUUAAAACGAUAAAGAGAUUGUCUGAGAACAUAGUUAUGUAUAUGAAAUAUAUGUAGGUAUGUAUGAUUAUACAUGUGUGGGUAUAUAUGGAGAGAGAGAGAGAGAGCACAGCUCAGUCAUGAAGUUGAUAUAUGAAAAUGGAAGGAGGGAUGCGAUAAAUGUAAACGAGAUGGAUAGCUGGAAUUAUUUGAGCGAUAUUCUAUGAUUGCAGAAUUUACUAUUGUCUUUUAAACACAGCGAAAAUUAAACGGAAUUGUCUAAACAUCCACUCAUUGUUUAGAAAUUUACUCGUUUUGUCGGAACAACUGCAAUCAGCAAAGAUAAUAAAUAACCGUGAUGAUGAGGAGAUAGAAAAUAUCACGCAAAUUUGUUUAUUUCUGUUAUAAAUUUGGAAAGCUUUGUUCGUCUUUAUGAAUUGAACCGCACAACCCAUUGUUGACACCACAAACCAAUUUGGAAACUUCCAUGUGGUCGCUCAACAUGCUAGAAACAGUAAACAAAUCUUCCUCAAAUCAUACUGAAUCGUCUGAAAAUAAAUAGAACGUCAGUGUGAAGGUCCGCGACCCACUGUGACGUAAAGACCACGAAUCAACGAAGGAACCUCUGUGGUCGCAUGGCAUGCUAUAAAUAGUAGCCAAAUCUUCAAGUUACUCCUUAUCGUCUUAAAAGGGAAGGUCAUGUUGAAAUCCCACAACUUACUGUGAUGUGUAGACACCUAUUUCUUUAUUACCCACAAGGGGCUAAACAUAGAGGGGACAAACAAAGACAGACAUACAGAGGUAUUAAGUCGAUUACAUCGACCCCAGUGCGUAACUGGUACUUAAUUUAUCGACCCGGAAAGGAUGAAAGGCAAAGUUGACCUCGGCGGAAUUUGAACUCACAACGUAACGACAAACGAAAUACGGCUACGCAUUUCGCCCGGCGUGCUAACGUUUCUGCCAGCUCGCCGCCUCCCUGUGAUGUGUAGACACCACGAACCAAUGGGGAAACCUUUGCGUGGUCACUCGAUCUUCUAAAAAUAGCAGUUGAAUCUUCCCCGAAUCACAUCAUAUUGGGAAAUGUCUGUUAUUUGGAUUUACAAAAAUAUAGAAUAAUCAUGGCUAGGAUGCCUUUUAAUGGUAGUAUCUACUCAGUUCGGGCUGCUCUUGGACCAAAUCACGACAGAAGUUCUAUAAAGAAAUAUUGCUUCUUCCCCAUCUUUUCUCUCUCUCAGUUUGUCUCUCCUCUCUCUCUCUCUCUCUCUCUCUCUCUCCACUCCCCACUCAUUCACUUUCCAUCUCUUUCUCCUGUUUUUCUGAUACCUGUCUGUUUCGAGAUACAAUAGAGCUUACACCACUGUUCAGUCUGUAGUGUUUGUCCUACCGCCACUGUUUGUCCUACCGUAGGACAGUAGUGUUUGUCCUACCCAUAGCUGUUAUGAUCCUUGUUGAAGUUGCUGUACUCGCUGUACUCGUUUGUGACUAGACACCUAACCCAGCCUUGGCGUGAUAUAUCUUGUGGUGUUAGCAAUUUUCAUAGUUGCACUGAAGCGAGCGACCUCUCCAGGGCACAAUCCUGGAUUCUUAUAUGGAAAUCAUGAAUUGUCUUGACAGAAAGUUGACACCAGUCUGUCUAUAGAAAUUGCCGGAAAGCAUCGAGUCGAGUACCAAACUACCUUUCGGGAUCAACUUCAGGUUUAUUUAUUAUAAAGUUUAUUCCCUAGCAUUUUGGCACUGAUGAUAUUUACCCAUAACAAGCAUGCGGUUUCGGGUUCAGUUCAAAUAUUCGGCACUUUGGGCAAAUAUUUUCUACUAUAGUUCCGGGUUGACCAAUGCCUUGUGAGUGAAUUUGGUUAGCGAAAACUGAGGGGAAGCCCGUCGGAUAUAUAUAUAUAUAUAUAUAUAUAUAUAAAUAAAAAGCCGUUGGCUCUAGGCCAACGGGUCUGAAGAAACGCUUUAUGUUUAUGAACGUGAAACCCAGAGUAGCCUAUAGACCAGCCAUAUCUAUCUUUAUAUACUCUACUGCCCAAUAACUUUAAGUGUGCUUCUCUUUCGGAUUUAUGAUUUACUGAAUAUAUAUGGCGAGCUGGCAGACAGUUAACGCGCCAGGCGAAAUGCUUUGCGGUAUUUCGUCUGUCGUUACGUUCUGAGUUCAAAUUCCGCCGAGGUCGACUUUGCCUUUCAUCCUUUCGGAGUCGAUAAAUAAAGUACCAGUUUCGCACUGGGGUAGAUGUAAUCGACUUAAUCCCCUUUGUCUGUCCUUGUUUGUCCCCUCUAUGUUUAGCCCCUUGUGGGCAAUAAAGAAAUAUGUGUGUGUGUGUGUGUGAAUAGAUAUAGAUAUGCGUGUGUCUUUGUGUUUUGGCCUUCCUCACUGCUUGACAACCAGUGUUUGUGUACGACCCCGUAGCUUAGAGGUUCGGCAGAAGACCGAUAAGAUAAGUAUUAGACUUACCAAAUGAAUACUGGGAUCGUUCGAGUAAACUCUUCAACUGACUGUGAAACAAACGAAAGAUAAAGAAAGCUAGGAAUCUGUAAUUCUAGGUUGGAGGCCCACUUUAGGCAUACUGUCAGUCAGAGCUCGCUGUUACCGAGGUGGCUUGUGUCAGACAGAAGCACAACGCUCUCUACCAUAUGUUGCACAAGUAGAACAGUAUUUAUACAUGUAUAGUAUGUUAAAUGCUGUCUUACGUGUGGGACACUUAGUACAUGGCCGUGUCAAUGAAUAUUUUUCAUUUGAUCCGAAUAUAAUAUAAGCAAUUCAUAAGUUUUCUCUUAUGACAAAUCAGAAAUUGCAGACAAUUGCUUGAUUCAACUUUUUUUUUUCUUCUUCUUCGUCGUUAUCGUUAUUUUGAAUGGGAUAUCGUAACGAAUUCAAAAAUACGAGAUGCAGACGAUAGCUUUCCUUCUAUGGUAUAACCAUAGAAAGUAAACAAACCGACCUUCAAGUUUUUAUUGAGCAAAAUAAAUAAAUAAAUAAAUAAACAAACAAAAAUUAAACGAUUUACUUUGGUUAUUGAAUUCAUUUGUCAUUUUCCCACGUAAGUUCAGUGUCGUUUGAAUUUAUUCAUAAAACCUAUAGUAAUAACUUCCUAAGGUUUCUAGAAGUUUUGAAUUAGUAUAAUCUAACAGUACACGUGAACAUUGCAUGGUUAUUUUGGCUACUGUAAGAUAUCAAUAAUUGUGUGUGUGUGGUUGUAAAGCAAUGUAAUUUUUAAUGUUUUCCUCAAUAGUUACCAUUACUGUAGACAAUUUUUUUUUUACCUAAACGAAAAGUAUGUGCAAUCUAUAUCUGUAUGUUAUAUGCACGCGCAGGGGCAUAUACAAUUAAACGGCGAUCCUUCGAUAUAGGUACCGUCAGUACCGUAAGUGGCUUUGUUUACAUUUCUGAAGAUAACAGAAACCCUUUUCUCCCACCCCUAACCCUAACCGUAACCCUAAACCUAACCCCCCAUAUAUAAAACAAAAACACUUUCUUGAAAUGUAUCCGGUACCUAUAACGAAGUUACGCCAAAAUUAUAUCAGUAUACCAAAUUUGAAAAUUUUCACUUAAUCUUAAAAUUUCAAAGAUGGAAGCCAAACAGAAAUGAUCUCACGCUGUUUUUUUCCUGCCUCUUAGUGGCAUGGAGAAAUCUUGAUUCCUAAAAUUAUCUCCCUUGCUCAUUUGGGCUUAUACCAAUAGCCAACAAACGCUUGGCCUUACCGUCUCUGGAAGCGGAGAUGAUUUCAAUAAAUCGAAUACCUAUCUUGUAUGUUAUUUAAUUCCGUUUUGCUAUAGGCACAAGGCUUGAAACUCUAUAGGAGCGGAGGUGGGGGGUUCUAUCGAUUACAUCGAUCUCAUUGCUUAACUGGUACUUAUUUAAUCGAGCUUCAAAGGACGAAAGGCAACAUUGACCUCGAAAUGUCGUUAUGCACUUUAUUUAACGUGCCAACAAUUCUGUCAGCUCGUAACCCCAUCAGUUUUUUUUUUGUUUGUUUUGUUAUUUACUCUACCCUUUGUGGAGGCGCAAUGGCCCAGUGGUUAGGGCAGCGGACUCGCGGUCAUAGGAUCGCGGUUUCGAUUCCCAGACCGGGCGUUGUGAGUGUUUAUUGAGCGAAAACACCUAAAAAGCUCCACGAGGCUCCGGGCAGGGGAUGGUGGUGAUCCCUGCUGUACUCUUUCACCACAACUUUCUCUCACUCUUACUUCCUGUUUCUGUUGUACCUGUAUUUCAAAGGGCCGGCCUUGUCACUCUCUGUGUCACGCUGAAUAUCCCCGAGAACUACGUUAAGGGUAUACAUGUCUGUGGAGUGCUCAGCCACUUACACGUUAAUUUCACGAGCAGGCUGUUCCGUUGAUUCGGAUCAACCGGAACCCUCAUCGUCGUAACCGACGGAGUGCUUCCACUCCACUCUACCCUUUAAUAUUCAGAUACAUGCCAUUGGCGACUCGGUUCUCUUAGCUUAUAACCUUUAUAUUCUUUACAUUUACACACACGCGCACGCACGCACGCACGCUAUAUUCUGUAUGUAAUUAUGUGUAGAUAUAGAUUCACAUACACACACACACACCUGUAUGAAUAUUUAUAUUUAUAUAUGUAUACAUGUGUGUAUAUGCUUAUGUAUGUGUACACAUAUAUACACAUACACAUAUUCUAUAUAUAUAUAAUGUGUGUGUAUGUGUGUGUAUAUAUAUUAUAUAUAUAUAUAUAUAAUGUGUGUGUGUGUAUGUUUAUAUAUAUAUAUAUAUAUAUAUAUAUAUAUAUAUAUAUAUAUUAUAUAUAUAUAUAUAUAUAUAUGUAUAUAUAUAUAUAUAUAUAUAUAUAUAUAUGUAUAUAUAUAUGUAUAUAUAUAUAUAUAUAUAUUAUAUAUAUAUAUAUAUAUAUAUAUAUAUAUAUAUAUAUUAUAUAUAUAUAUAUAUAUAUAUAUAUAUAUAUAUAUAUAUGUAUAUAUAUAUAUGUGUGUGUGUGUGUGUAUAUUAUAUAUAUAUGUGUGUGUGUGUGUGUGUAUUAUAACAUGUGUGUGUGUGUGUGUGUGUAUUAUAACUUGUGUGUCUGUGUCGGCAACGUAAACGCACGCUUAAUCUCAUCUCUGUUUUCUCUGCUUAUUAUCGAUCAGAAAUAGGUCAAAGGUGACUCCUAAAUUUCUUCUUACUGACGAUAGAAAUAAUAUUAGCAAAAGUAGUCAAGACGCUUCCCUUUGAAGUCUGAAGUAUGAAGGACAUGGUUGUGGUGGCUGGGUUGGUAGGGGUUAAUGUCAGCAGCAUGGAUGAUAAGGGUUGGGGUCUGCAUUCGGUAGCGGCAGUGGUGACGUGUGUCGGACGGACGGACGGACUGUGACGGGGUCGUUGGCGGAGGGAAGAACGGUCGGUUUAUAAUAUUAUAUACAGGACGUGUUCUUGUAAUUUAUCAUGUCUGUAAAAUUCCGACAGAUAUGACGGCUUCUCUUGUAGCUUUCGGUCUAUAAAGUCAACCAACUGUUGUUGUUGGCUAUUACAAUUUAACAUAGUGUGACAGGUGUUGUUGUUGGUGAUGAUGGUGUUGGUGGGGUUGCCUCUGUUGUUUGCGAUUGAUAUUUAUAUUAUACCACUGGUUAAUUUUGUUGGUUUAAUAUUGAUGUACACGGCUACAGUUGAGUGCGCAAGCUCGCAUAUAGCUUCGCGCACGCUCACACAUUUAUAACACAUAGACUUAUACACAUACGCGUAUGGUAUGCAAACAAUUGAUUUCAUAUUCAUUGAAAAGUUCAUACACUUACAUAUAUACAGAUUCAUAAAUAGCCUGUUCGUGAUAAAUACAUGUAUAUAGGAAAGAGAAAGUCAGACAGACGGAUGGAAUGAGACGGGAGAGAGAGCGAGAGCAAAAAAAAAAAGACCGUGGAAGAAAGAGAGAGAGAAAGGCGCGUAAUUGUAUAUGGGAAAGGAUGAAGAAAUAAAGGGAACAAUCUCAUCUGGUUGUCAAUGAAUGAUGACAUAUAAGUUUGUGUGAUGUGAUCAGUGACGACAGACGAUGUUUAACCCCCAGGUUAGCUCUGAUCAUUUUGACGUGACCAUCCUGUCUUUACAUCCUUAGUGCAGAAUACCUAAGAUCACAUUAUCCAAGGUUAUAAGGUUAUGGCUCCAGUGUAGUCAGGAUUUCGACCGAGAAGGUUAAGGUGGAGGCCAGUUAUUAAAAUGGAUCCACUAUUAACCAUUUAAUUCUAUGUGUGGAGGAGCGUUAGGGUGUUGCUCUCAUGAUCGUAUGAUCGUGGUUUCGAUUCCUGGGCCAGGCGAUGCGUUGCGUUCUUGAGUAAAAAACUUGAGACAGUCUUUAUGAGCCUAUGGCUUGGGGAGGACCUUUGAUCCUCAUAUAUAUAUAUAUAUAUAUAUAUAUAUAUAUAUAUAUAUAUAUAUAUAUAUAUAUAUAGAGGCUUGCUUCCCAGCCACAUUGUUCUAGGUUCAGUCCCACUGCGUGGCACCUUGGUCGAGUACCUUCUACUAUAGCCUCGAGCCGACCAAAGUCUUGUGAGUGGAUUUUGUAGAGGGAAACUGAAAGAAGCUCGUCGUAUACACAUACACGCACAUAUAUGCAUGUGGGUGUAUGUGUGUGUCUUUGUCCCCCAUUCCCACUUGACAGCCGGUGUUGGUGUGUUUACGUCCUCGUAACAUAGUGGUUCGGCAAAGAAACCGAUGGAAUAAGUACUAGGCUUACAAAGAUCAAGUUCUGGGGCGGCGAUUUCUUCUUCGACUAAAAAGCUCUUUAAGGCGGUACUCCAGCAUGGUCGCAGUCAAAUGAUUGCAACAACUAAAAGAAUAUAUAAUGAACUGCGGGAAGGUAACCAUUCAAAUUGUUGUCACUAGCUAUGAGGUGCUGGAGUCUUUAUUAUUAUUAUUAUUAUUAUUAUUAUUAUUAUUAUUAAGGCAGCAAGGUCCGAUUUGAGGGAGAUUUAUGUGCUUCUAUUUCUGGCGGGUGGAUUGACUUACGUACAACCUCCCUCGUUGGCGCUUAGAGUUCUGUGCUCGCAUGUCGUCACACAUGAAGACGAUGGUGAUGACGAUAAAGUAUUGUAUUCUAAACAACACUGGAAAUGUUCUCUGCUCUAAAAGAAGAGAGAGAGAGAGAGAGAGAGAGAGAGAGAGAGAGAGAGAAAUAUAUUUCGGUUGCCGAAAGCAGAACUUAAUGAGAAAAUGAUGAGUGGUUUGAUUGUUUUACAUCGCCUAGAUAAAAUACUAUCACACGAGAAGGAGGAAAUCAACGGUGUGUAACUAUCAUAUUCGAUUCGUAUCUUUUAAUGUCUGCGACUUGCAAGGAGUAUAUAUAUAUAUAUAUAUAUGUGUGUCUAUAUAUAUAUAUAUAAUUAUUUUUAUUUUAUCGCAAUUUGAUUUGUUUAUAUAUAUAUAUAUAUAUAUAUAUAUAUAUAUAUAUAUAUAUAACAAAAAUAUACGUGUCUGUCUAUGCAUGACAUUUGUUUCCCUUUCUUCUGCCUCUCCUUUCUCCCCCCCCCGCUUUAUCUUUCUGCAGACUAUCUGUCUGUGUGUCUGUCUGUCUGUUUUCCUCUCACAAUCUGUAUAACCUUUCGCUCAUUUGUCCUUCUUCAACUUCUGUUUUUCUUCGCCCUCUCUGUCUUCUCUCUCUCUCUCUCUCUCUCUCUCUCUCCUUAUCUUCAUCACACCUAUCUUUCGUCCGCCUAUAUUUCUCUCUCUCUCUCUCUCUCAUUAAUGCAUUUAAAACAUCGAAGGUAGGGACCCAUUAUCAUUUUAAGCCAACUUGAACGGCCUGCGACUUCCAGCGCCUUAAAGCAAGCAAUAGCUAAGCUCCCGUCGAGUAUUUUACAAAAUUUUUUUUUCCAUCACAUUUCUUCUACUACAGUUUCAAUAUUUCACUGCAUUAUAGUCAAUAAAAUAUUGACAAACUGACAAGCGGCACACUUAACAUUCGCUAUGCUCCCGCUCUCCUCAGCCCUCAAACUUGUAUUCGGUUCGUUUUCAUAUCACAAACAUGUUUGCAAAAUUGCAAAUAAAUAAAUAAAUAUAAAACAAAGAACAUCAAGCUGUAUAUAUGUAUAUAUCUCUUUUACUCUUUUACUUGUUUCAGUCAUUUGACUGCGGCCAUGCUGGAGCACCGCCUUUAGUCGAGCAAAUCGACCCCCAGGACUUAUUCUUUGUAAGCCCAGUACUUAUUCUAUCGGUCUCUUUUGCCGAACCGCUAAGUGACGGGGACGUAAACACACCAGCAUCGGCUGUCAAGCAAUACUAGGGGAACAAACACAGACACACAAACAUAUACACACACACUUAUAUAUAUAUAUACAUAUAUACGACGGGCUUCUUUCAGUUUCCGUCUACCAAAUCCACUCACAAGGCAUUGGUCGGCCCGGGGCUAUAGCAGAAGACACUUGCCCAAGAUGCCACGCAGUGGGACUGAACCCGGAACCAUGUGGUUGGUUAGCAAGCUACUUACCACGUUGACAUUUAACAAACAUCAUUAAUAAUAUUUACAAUAUAUUAAUAUUAUGAGCUGGCAUGCUUUGCGGCAGUUUAUCCAUCUUUAUAUUCUGGGUUCAAAUUCCACAGAAGUUGACUCUGCCUUUCAUCCUUUGGGCGCAGGAGUGGCUGUGUGGCAAGUAGCUUGCUUACCAACUAUAUGGUUCCGGGUUCAGUCCCACUACGUGACACCUUAGGCAAUUGUCUUUUCCUAUAGUUCCAUAGCCACGGGCCAACCAAAGCCUUGUGAGUGGAAAUGCCGUCGUGUGUGUGUGUUUCUUUGUGUCUCUGUCCCUCACGACAGCUUCACAACCGGUAUUUGUGUGUUUACGUUCCCGUAUCUUAGCGGUUCGACAUAAGAGGCCGGUGGUGUAAGAUUCUGUCUAAAAAAUUAAGUGCUAUGGUCGAUUCGUUUGGUUAAAAUUCUUCCAGGCGGUGCCCCAAUACGGCUGCAGUUUAUUGAUUGAUAGAUAUGAAAAUCUGAUGCUUUGGUCACGACUAGAAGGCCUUUGAUCAUAGAUAUGUUUGAGCUUUAAAUAAUCGUUAACAUAUUUUCCCAAAAUAUAUAGUAUCAGAAACAGAAAACAAUGAUUCACAACGAUAACACUUGCAAUGGAUUUAAUCUCAAGAUCCAUUCACUGUUGCCUAAUAUCACAUAUUAAUAGCUUUAACUUGUUUUUAAUAACUCAUGAGAAUGGCGCCUCUGAGUAAUUUGUGAUUAAGCAUAAAGAAGACUAUGUUUUGCUGAGAAGGCCUCAUAAGACCAAAGCAAGUCUGGGUUGUCGUCCUUACUUACCAAGAUCAGAUUAAAUAAAUAUUAGUCAUUGUGUUAAUGUGUUAUUUUCUUCAUCGUAUACGUAAUUUUAAUAUUUGUUUUCGCCAUACUACAUUAACUUAGUUUGCAUUGCGUCCUCAACGCCUGCUGGAAUCGAAGAAACGCAAUCAUGGUACAUACAGAGUGUCUUGGGCAUUUUAUAUCUGCCGAAGCACUUGUCAUUCCAGGUCUGACUAUAGCCGCUUUCGUUCGGAGAGAGAGAGAGAGAGAGAGAGAAAAGACUGAUCUUUUCGAAUUUUGGAUAGGUACUUUAUUUAACGAUGAUGAAAAAAAGUUGACCUCGGCGGGAUAUGAGCGCAGAGCAUAGAAUAUCGGAACGAAUACCGUAACACAUUCUUUGCAAUACUCUGCCAAAUCGUUGCCUCUUUAUUAACUUUUAUGGUCAUAACAAUCAUUCAUAUCCAAUCGACAGUUUCUCUUCUUUACCAACAAAGGACAUUAGUAUGUCGGCGAACCAUCGUUACUUUAUAACUCGCUUUUCUAGCUAGAAAAGUUAGGAAAAGAAAAAAAGAAGGAAAAUACUGAUGACAUGAAAUACGUCAUAUACUGUUUCUGCUUAUUUGUUGGUUUUUUGUUUUUGUUCUCUUAAAACAAAGAAAAUUGGCGGGAAGGUCCAACAUAAACAUCCACCCAAAUGCAAACAUAACAGAUAUGAUAUUGUUCUUUGAAACCGAGAACAAAAUGUACACAUGUUCUGUUGUUGAAGUUAAUUACCUAAUUCUGUGCAUGGUGCAUGGUGUGUGUGUGUGUGUGGUACGCUCUACUGCAAAUAGAAUUUUCAGUAUAGUAUAGUGUGUGUAUGUAUGUAUAUAUAUAUAUAUAUAUAUAUAUAUAUAUAUAUAUCGUUUGUGUUUAUAGUUUUAGUCUUUUCAUCCAUUGCACUUAACUAAUUAUUGGCACAGACCAUCACUCAUUUCUUUACAUUCUACUGUUUCUCUAUGCAAACAAGCCCCUACGUUAUUGAAUCUUUGCGCUUCUGAAAACCUUGUUGUUGAACUGUAUACCGUAUGUAAAACCUGUUUUUCCGUUACUGCUAUGUUACAUAUAAAUCAAAUGGGAAAUGUGAUUCACGUUACGAAAUACUUAUGUGCUAAAUUUUUUUUUUCCGAAACGUAAUCGUGUUAUGGUAGUAUGUGUUAAUUUACACUGAACCGUAAAAUACAAGUUCGAAAAUUUUUCAAGAGAGGAAAAGAAAUCUGAUGAAAAUUUCACUGAAACUUUACUAAAUUAAUCAACGGGAGGAGGCUUAUGCAGAUAUGCAAAGGUGCUUUCAACGAAUCAUCAUUCAAUUCACCAGUUCUGUUGGUCUAAAUUCUAACAAAAUAAUUUUCAGACCGGAUACAGUCAGACACGUAUACACACAAAUACUGCUUUGCGUACUUCAUAUCUUUGUGGUUGAAAGAAGUGUGUGUGUGUGUGUGUGUGUGUGUGUGUGUGUGUGUGUGUGUGUGUGUGUGUGUGUAAAUAAGCUGCAGAGUGUCGCAUUAGUAUAUAUGUUUGCAUGCACAAUGCGUAUAAGUACAUCAUCUAUGUUUGUAUAUGCAUACGCUUACGUGUGCAGUUGUGAAUAGACGUAUGUGAGUUGUGGGUGAUAAUGUAUUGUCUGCUGGAAAUACCGAAAGGAAUAAAUAAACGCAUAAGCCCCCAUCAUCCCAACUUAACGGUAGAUAGUAUCUUUAUGGAGAGCUAGCUCUCUGUUCUGUGAAUGUGUGUCUAGUAUUGCUGGUAAAGGUAUCAGAUAUCACAGAGCACAGGUCUAUUUAGGAAAGCUGAUAACCUAAGAUGGCUCCGAGAUCAGACGAGAGUUAAUGGCAGAUGCAAUGAAGAUUACAUAUAUGUUGUUACGAGUUUAACGGAUGGUUGACAUAUAGAGAUAGAUAGAUAGAUAGAUAAAUAGAUAGAUAGAUAGAUAGAUAGAUAGACAGACAACUUCGUAUAUAGAUACUAAGAAAGAGAGAGGAAAAGGGUACAAAAUGACGUUCGGAGAAAAAGGGUGAGAGGAGAAGAGAAAAAGAACGAAGGGGAGAAGGAGGGGAUAAUGGAGAAAGAAAGACAAACAUAUACUGGGUAGGAGUUUUAAGGUGGUGGAGGCGGUGGAGAAAGAGAAAUUAACCUUUAAAGAUGAAAAGAGAAAAAGGAGAAAAUAAGACUGAGUGGGAGGGGAAAUUGAAGGGGAGGAAUAUAUUAAAUAAGAAAGGGUGGGGAGAUAACAAAAUAGAAAGAGGGAUAGCAGAAGAAAAUAAGGAGGGGGAGAAAUUGAUAUAGAUAGAUAGAUAAAACAGAAAGAGAGGAGGUAGGAGGAUAUGAAAUGAGAGUUUAAAAAAUGGGGUGGAAGUGGGAGACAGAAAUAAAGAAGAAUGAAAGGUGGAGGAAGUAAGAUCUACUUUGUCAGAGAAAUUGACGAAGUGGAGAAGAAAAGCUUCCCGAGAGAGGGAUUAGAGAAAGAUAGACACAGAUUUAGAGAGAGAGAAAGAUAGCUGGGUAGAAGGCAGAGUGUAAACUAGUGAGGGAGGAAAGAGCGAGAGAAACAGAAAGAAGCUGAGAGAGAAAGAGGGGGUAAAAAAACAAAAAUGUGUCGUCUGCUCAAUGAAAAAAGAAGCGGGAAAAUGACUGAAUGGUGUGGUCGCUUGGUCUAGCAGAAAUAGAAGCCAAAAUCUCUCAUAAAUCAUAAACAAGUAACUUUAAAAUAGAAGGACUCGGUGUAUAAUAGACUCCUGGAUGUAUAGAAAGAUAGAAUGGUGAAAACUGAGUUGCCUUUGAUCAAAGUUCCGCUUGUUCAAGGCUGACCUACGAAUCAACGGCAAUAACGAAGAUAGUUACGAACCAUCGAUGGAGCUUCUACGUAGUUGAUCGGUAUACUAGAAAUAGCAACUAAAAUUUCAUUAGAAUCACAUCAUAUCUUUUAAAAUAUUCAAGGAUUGGACACAUUCAGUAAUAAUGUGUUACAGAUGGAACGUUUUGGCCGAUCCGUUGGCUGGACCAGACCCAACCUGGGGUGAGUUUCUUAAAUACACAAUUUAUAAUAUAUAUAUAUGUAUAUUUGUGGAACUGCUAAAUUAUAAUUAUAGGACUUAAUGGAACAGAACAUAAGAGCUAUUAGGGUUAAAACAACACGCUCUCGUAUUCAUGCACUCAGACAUGCAUGCAUAUAUACUUUUCUACUCUAGGCACAAGGCCAGACAUUUCUGGGGAGGAGCCAAUUGAUUAGAUCGACCCCAGUACACAACUGGUACUUAAUUUAUCGACCCAGUACGCAACUGGUACUUAAUUUAUCGACCUAGUACGCAACUGGUACUUAAUUUAUCGAUUCCGAAAGGAUGAAAGGCAAAGUCGACCUCGGCGGAAUUUGAACUCAGAACGUAAGGGCAGACGAAGCAUUUCUGCAUACAUAUUAUACAUGCAUACAUAUAUUACAUGCAUACAUAUAUAGAUACAUUAAAUGUAUCAGUUUCGAGUUCAGUCCCAUUGUGUCUUCUGUUAGAACUCUCGGUCCCUAUAAAACCUUGUGAGUGAAUUUAGUUGACGGAAACUGAAAAGAAACCUGCUGUGCGCGCGCGCGCGCACACACACACACACACACACACACACACACACACAUCGAUUUGAGUUCAACACGUACAACAUUUUCAUCGAAAAUCGUAAUACUUACAUAAUUAGAUUAAUUAAAACAUGUAGUAAGCGACUAAAAUUUCGUAAAAUGGAAAGUAAAUUUGACGCUUAACUUACGAAAUUUCAAAUCCAAAACAAGUUGCUCUAACAUUUAUUGACAUUUCCCAGCUAAAAUCGUUAAAAUAAACGCGAAACAAUUGACUGAAAAUAUUUUAUAUAUUUGUUGUACAUACCACUAAAAAAGUGAUGCAGUACAAUUUUUCACACAUCAAUCAGCAGAGCUUUUGAAUAAAACGAACUUCUCGACUGCAGAGUUGGGUGUGUGAGUAAUGUUAGAGUGCAGGGGAAAUUUUUUGUAAACCUCCGGAAUUUAUAAUAAUUGCGGCUGAGUUCAAAAUAUUCCGAGGUCAACUUUAUUUUUCAUUCUUUCGGGGUCGUUAAAAUAAGUGCACUGGCAUCGAUGUAAUCACUUACCCGUCCCCCAAAAUUUCAGGCUUUGUGCCUAUAGUAGAAAGAAUUAUCAUUAUUAUUUAAGGCGUGGAGACAAAAUGGCCCAGUGGUUAGGGCAGCGGACUCGCGGUCGGAGGAUCGCGGUUUCGAUUCUCAGACCGGGCGUUGUGUGUGUUUAUUGAGCGAAAACGCCUAAAGCUCCACAAGGCUCAGGCAGGGGUGGGGGUGGCGUCCCCCGUGGUACUCUUUCGCCCCAACUUUCUCUCACUCUUUCUUCCUGUUUCUUGAGUAACGCUGCGAUGGACUGGCGUCCCGUCCAGCUGGGGAGGGACACAUACGCCACAGAAAACGGGAAACCGGGCCCAUGAGCCUGGCUAGGCUUGAAAAGGGCGCAUAAAUAAAAAUAAUUAUUUAAGGCAGUAAGCUAGCAGAAUCGUUAGCAUGCCGGGUGAAAUGCUUAGCGGCAUUUCGUUCGCUUUUACUUUCUGAAUUUAAAAAUUCCGCGGAUAUCUACUUUGCCUUUCAUCCUUUUGGGAUCAAUAAAAUAAGUACCAGUUGAACACGUGGGUCGAUGUAAUCGACUUAACCCUUCCCACGAAAUUACAAGCCUUUUGCCAAAAUGUGAAACCAUUGUUGUUAUUAUCGAACGCCUUAGUGGUUUCUUAAGAAAACAUUAUUUUAUUAUUUUGGUUUUAGUCAUUGAUUUGUGGUCAUGCUGGGGCAUCAUUUCAAUGCACAUUGUCUAGUCCAAGUCCUCAUUUUUUAAAUCUUUAUUAAUAGACAAGCUGGGUUCACCUAACGAGUUACAUAUCUUUAAUGGCGUAAAUAUCUUAUGGUAUUUGUAUCGGCGAGUUGGCUGAUAUCUUAUGGUAUUUGUAAAGGCGGCGAGUUGGCUGAAGCGUUAGCACGCUGAGGGAAAUGCUUCGUGGUAUUUCGUCUGCGUUACGUUGUGAGUUCAAAUUCCGCCGAGGUCGACUUUGCCUUUCAUCCUUUCGGGGUCGAUAAAUUAAGUACCAGUUACGCACUGGGGUCGAUGUAAUCGACUUAAUACCUAUAUCUGUCCUUGUUUGUCCCCUCUGUGUUUAGCCCCUUGUGGGUAAUAAAGAAAUAGGUAUUUGUAUCGGUACACACACAAGCACACACACACAUUCGACUGUAGAGUUCUAUAUAAAAUUUCUUUUGCUUCUAAUUCAAAUAACACAGGGAUCACCUGUACUUUUCCUCCUUUAGAGUUGAUAGAAUAAGUUCGAAUCAUACUAGGGUUUUGGAACUAAAGCAUCUGUUUGCCUUUAAAUUAAGCAUUUGGGAAAUUUGCCAGUGAAUUUUCUUGACCAGAACUGUCGCAGGAUGAGAUAAUUCCGGACCAUUCUCCACGUGUCAAAUUCACUAUUGCAAAAUCAACGCUCUUUCGGCCCCAGCCAACUAAUUUUGUAAUGUAGUUAUCCUGGGCACAGAUAUACUCAAAUAUUCCGCCGAGUAUAAUAACUAUGUCAUCCCUGGCUAAUAAGAAUAAAGUACCAGUCAAAUACUGUAGUCAAUUUAAUUGACUGAUACCGGUAUCUCCUAUGUUUCUUGGAGCAGAAGAGUGAAUUGAAGCCAGAUUGUGGAUUUGUUUGGUGCUCCGGGUUUAUUUUCAUGCUUCUGCUUUUCGGCUUCACUUGAACAGUUGUAAAACAUGAACACUAAAUGUAGAGGAUGUGCAAAGAUCGGAAAGAAACGAGGCCGAGCUAGCUCCGAUCGAUUUAAAUGUAAAUGUCAAUUUGCAUGAACGAUUGGUGUUCAUAAGAGCUGACAAAAAGAAAAAUAACAUGGUGUUAGGCAUAAAUGAAAUCAGCUCUAUCCAUUGUGAAAGUCUUACUGUUUGAGGUUGAAGAAGUGUCAAGCAAAACCAAACGGAGGAAACAACUGCAACAGAGUGAAAAUGGAUGCAAAAGAAUGAUAAUGGUAUUCGUGUGCCAUUGUUGCGGGCGUCGGUGAUCGUGGCCCACAAAGACAUCUUGUUUCACGCAUAACACUUGGCACGUUAUUGGGCUUGUUAAGGUCAUUGUGUCUCUUCACUCCAUAUCCUCACAAGCUUCUUUCUUUCAGUUUUCUGGUUGUCACCAACUGCUCAAAGUCACCCUACCAUCUCAUAUUAUGUCCAGUUAACUGAGUCUGUUGAUUUCGCGAGUUACUGAGAAACUUUCUCUUUUUUUUUUUUUUUUGCUUGCUUGUCUAAGGAUUUCCAUGCUACUCUAUCUCUACGAUGAUGAUUAAUUUAUCGACCCCGAAAGGAUGAAAGGCAAAGUCAACCUCGGCGGAAUUUGAACUCAGGACGUAACGGCAGACGAAAUACGGCUACGCUUUUCGCCCGGAGUUUCUGCUGGCUCGCCGCCUUAAUAAUAAUAAUAAUCCUUUCUACUGGAAGCACAAUGCCUCAAAUUUUUCAGGAGGGAACUAGUCGGGGAUUUUUGUGGUUUUUCGUCACUGCAUGUCGAAAUCUUUAAAAAUAUCUCUUUAAUGUAUCAUAUAGAUAUAAUUUUUGACGUUGAAUCCAAAUUUGCUAGAAAUAACAGUCAAAACCUUGCUUAAAACUGACAUUUAUUAGUUUAAAAAAUUCAAGAGCGAAAGUUGUGACCAUCUCGUCACUGUUCUAAAAUUUCUAUAUCAUUCUAGAAUCGAAUUCCUUUUGUUAUGAAAAUAAACAAUUAUAGAACACGUGGUGGUUACACUCCUUGUGCGCAUGCGCAGCAUUUUUGAUUACUAUGGAAACAGAGUUCUUCGCUAUCAGCUAUGAAACACGUGGUGCUUCUGGAAACAGAUUUCUUCGCCACGGUGAUGUGUAAAAUACUCGCUUCUGAUUGGCUAAAAUACCCAAAUUUUGUAAAUUUUAAAGGCUAGCAACUUUUUGAUUAUGGAUUUAUUGGGAAAAUGAAUUUCAUUUUCUUAAUUAGUAUACAAAACUUAAUCCAUAUAUCAAUUUUGAAAACAACUGGAACGAAAUUGUAUACAGUGACGAAAACCACAAAGAUCCCCAGUUGAUUACAUCAAUCCCAAUGUUUUACUGGUACUUAAUUUAUCGACCUCGAAAGGAUGAAAGGCAAAGUCGACCUCGGCGGAAUUUGAACUCAGAACGUAGUGGCGAGUGAAAUGCCGCUAAGCAUUUCAUCCAGCGCGCUAACGAUUCUGUCAGCUUGCCGCCUUGAUAAUAAUAAUAAUAAUGAUAAUAAUAAUAAUAAUAUUCUCUGUUUUACACAGGACGACGGGUAAAUGGGACAUUACAAAGACAAAUAAUAAACAGGAAACGUUUGUAUAAGAUAUCCACCUAAUUCCAUUUAGUUAGAGGAUAAUACAAGCCAGGCUUUACUAAUGUAUGUAAAGAGGGUUUUUACUUUAAUCCCUAUUUGAGUAUAUAUAUAUGUCAUUAACAGCUACACACCCUCCCCAAGCGAUGCUAUAGGAAACACCCAGCACUUUACACAUUAUAGCAGGUUAGGGUUAGGUAAAACAAAACGGGCUUACCGCACGCAUAUACAAAAAAAAACGAUUUUUCGUAGACACACACGCACACACAAAUACACAACACACACACACACGUAUAUAUAUGUCGUGUGUAUGUAUGUAUGUACACAUGGAUAUGUAUGUACGUGUGUGUGUGUGUGUGUGUGUGUAUAUAUAUAUAUAUAUAUAUAUAUAUGUGUGUGUGUGUAAUAUUUGUUAAAACUUGUCCCUCGCAUAGAUACACACACACACACACACACACACACACAUAUAUAUAUAUAUAUAUAUAUAUAUAUAUAUAUAUAUACAUGUACGUGUACGCAUACAUACAUAUACAUCACGCAUUUAUAUUUAUUUAUUGUGAAAAGGAGAAAAGAGAAGAUAUUCCAGUGAGUACCCAAAAGCGGUUGGUAAAUGUUUGAGAUAUUGGUGCCGGGAGAGAAGUACGUAUAAGUAAUAAUAACGCCAAUGUUUGGAACAGCAGCAAAUGGAGAUACUCUUAGAAAUGAAAGAAGUCUGGAAGAAAAACAAAGAAAAAAAAGAUAAUAGCAAAAAAAAAAAAAAAGAAAAAAAUUCGCAUCAAAGAUAAGAAAGAAAGAAGAAAAUCAAACAACAAAAUUUGAGUAAAAUGGCUAUGAAGGUAUAAAGAAAAGGUGUAUACAUGAUAGGCCGCGAGAGAGAGAGAUGGAGAAAGUUGUGGUGGUGGUCGUGGUAGGGAACAAACAGAUAGAUAAAAAGCGUGAGAUUAUAUAGACAAAACAUUAGACGAGAUAGAAAGCGAAGUUAUGUAGUCCAAGCUAAUAAUAAUAGACACACGCAACUGUUGGUUCACUUAUCUCAAGUUAUUUUUCCUCUGAACUCUUUAAAAAUAAAUGUCUCUCUCAAACAACGAACGAUUCUUUUACAAUGAUAAAAAAAAAAAUCCUUUAUUAUAUUCUUUUCUUUAUGUAUGUACUUAUAAUAAUAUUAAAAAAUUAUUUGUUUUUGUUUAUUUAUUACACAUCACUUUGCUUUUGUUGUUUUUUUUUUUUUUUCGUUUUUGUUUUUCUAUCGUAUCAUCCGACAUUUUGGCAAACUCGAAACGUGGCGAAAGCGAUAGAACAUAAGUAAGUACAUAUACAAGAUAAGGAGAUGGAGACGGUUGGAUAGGUUGCUUGUAUCAGUGCUUGGUAAAGUUUUUUUCUUGAAGGUGGUGAUCGUGAAACCUGUUCAGGAUCUUGUUAAAUUUCUUUUCAACCACUUGAAGUAUUUUUCAAUUUUCACCAGAUUAUUUUUUAAAAAUAUAAUUCAGAUAUAGUUUCGCAUGCUGAUAACAAAAAUAGCAUCAGUUUUUUUCCCUCCCCUAUUUCGUUAUCACAAUGCAAAACUACAUCAGAAAUAGAUUAAAAAAACCCCAAUAAUCUGGUUAAAAUUUGAAAUACUAAAGGUGGUUGGAAGAAACUUAACAUGAUCCCCUAUUUACUCUUUUUCUUUAAACAAAUUCUCUUUUUAUCUGUUUGUCGAGAGAAAGUAGUAACAGUAAUUGAUCCUUUUACAGGCCUAUCAAAAUUAGUGGUGGUGGUCGUGUGGAGAGUAACAUUAAACCGGUAAAUUGGUUCGAAUGCAUGCAGCAGACUCCGCCAAAGGCACCCAAGGUUGCUCGGAGGUAGGUAGUGUGCAACUGGGUGACGAAAUAAGUUUACUACUCGAAUAGGCUGUGGUAGGGGUUUCAACCUAGAACGCAAAGAUCCCGAGCAAAUACCGGAAGGUAUCCUAUCCAAUGUUUUUACAAUUCCACCGAUCCACCAGCCUUGUUGUUUUCGUCAUCGAUUCCAAACAAAUAAAAAGCAAUGUCGUGUAGAAGCCCGACGUGUGUGUAUUUGUAUAAUAAUAUUAAUAAUAAUAAUUCUUAUAAUUAUUUUAAGAUGUGGGUUGUGAUCUCAAGGGAAAUUGUUAUUUCUCCCACACUGGAUUGCUAAAUUUAUUGAAAACUCGAUUAUAAAAAAAAAAGGGAGUCUCAUUGGUCAAUCCGGGGCUAUUAUAGAAAGACACCCAAAGUACUGCAUGUGACAUCAAAUCCAGUACCACGUGGUUGAGAAGCAAACUUUUUUAAUUCCACCGCCACCCAGCAUUAUUCCACCAUUAAACAUUUAUUUUCAAUGUACAAAAACGUAUUUUUAUGGGAUUAAGCUAUACUAAGCAGAUCAUCGGAUUAAUCAAAAUUAGGAAUUGUAUCAACUUUGUUCGGUAAAGUGAAAUCGUUGUUACAAAACAUAUUAAAAUUAAUCUUUUAAAAUUGACGGUUAUUUUACCUUUCGUCUUCCGGUUUUUAUGACCUUACUUUGAUAUAUAUAUACGAAAAAAGAAAUUUAAAAAUUGAUCACCCAUAUGUGAGGAGGAGUACUGGCAUCAAGCUUAUUUGAGUCAUCAGUUCAAAACUCUUGCUUCUGGCAUUGCUUUGUCGCAAUCGUUCGCUCGGACAAUUGAUUGAGGAUGACCACAUUUGUAGUGAUAGUGGCACGAAGAUUAACUAUUCACGGCGAUAUUGUAGUUGUUGUUGUCUAGUCCCAGCUCAGCAGGACUUUGAUCAAAAGUGUUGCGAUCGUUAAAGCAAAUGCAUAGAUUAUGUAUCUAUACUCUUACUCUUUUACUUGUUUCAGUCAUUUGACUGCGGCCAUACUGGAGCACCACCUUCAGUCGAGCAAAUCGACCCCAGGACUUAUUCCUUGUAAGCCUAGUACUUAUUCUAUCGUUCGCUUUUUGCCGAACCGCUAAGUUACGGGGACGUAAACACACCACCAUCGGUUGUCAAGCGAUGUUGGGGGACAAACACAGACACAAACACACACACAUACAUAUAUACGACAGGCUUCUUUCAGUUUCCGUCUACCAAAUCCACUCACAUGGCUUUGGUCAGCCCGAGGCUAUAGUAGAAGACACUUGCCCAAGGUGUCACGCAGUGGGACUGAACCCGGAACCAUGUGGUUGGUAAGCAAGCUACUUACCACACAGCCAUUCCUGCGCCUACAAAAUAAAGCAGGAAACUGAUUGACAUUACUUGGAGUAUGUAUGUAUGUAUGUGUGUGUGUGUGUGUGUGUAUGUGUGUAUGUAUGUAUGUAUGUAUGUAUGUAUGUAUGUAUGUAUGUAUGUAUGUAUGUAUGUGUCUUUGUGUUUGUCCACCCCACCGAUUAACAACCGAUGUUGGUUAGCUUACGUCCUUGUAACUUAGCAGUUCAGCAGAAGAAAACCAUAUACCAAUUUACCAAAAUAAGUACCAGACUUUAAAUAAAAUAAGUAUUGGGGUAGAUUUGUUCGACUAAAACCCUUCAAGGUGCUGCCUCAGCAUUGCCACUGUCCAAUGACUGAAAUAAAUACAUGUAAAGGCUGCAUAGAGGCUCCUACUUCGCUCGUUUUCUGUCAAUAGUUCAAUUUUUAUUUUUACCCCGGUUAGAUAAAUACCUUGACCAUUGUUAUCAUAUUACGUAAUAUUAUAUUUCUUUCCUUGCGAAGUCUUUAUCUCAAUGUUACCGGCCUUAUUAAAAUUCAUUUUAUCAUUCUGACCAGUUGAUUAUACAUAAUGGUCAUUUUUUUUUACUACCCGCCUAUCGUUAAUCUUUUUCACGAAACUAUUCUAUUCGUCGAGUAGUGUCAUUAAAACGUUGGUAAUAAACCACUCGGUGACAUCUCACCCAAGACAUAUAACAAGAUACUUAACUCGACCUUUGGGGAGAGAUCACUGUAAAUGAGUGUCUCUCGGGGCUCGAAAGGAGGCAGCUGUUUAUGGCCAACGAUAUAUGUUAUAUCUCAGCAGCCAGAAAAUAAAGAAUCCGAUUCAUUAUUAUACAAGUCUCUCAUUAGAGUUAGGAUUCAAGCUUCAGUGGCACACACUAUCGUCCUGUAUGUACACACACACACACACACACACACACACACAAAUUCGCUUGCUCAUCCAUCAAUACGUUUUGCAUUCACCAACUUGUACACGUACGUAUAUGUAUGCGUGUAUGCUAACAGAUAUGUAUGUAUGUAUAUUCAUUGUUCAUUGUAUAUGUAUUGUGUUCCUCACAAUAACAUGCUUAUACGCAGACUCUCUCUUUUUACUCUUUUACUUGUUUCAGUCAUUUGACUGCGGCCAUGCUGGAGCACCGCCUUUAGUCGAGCAAAUCGACCCCGGGACUUAUUCUUUGUAAGCCCAGUACUUAUUCUAUCGGUCUCUUUUGCCGAACCGCUAAGUGACGGGGACGUAAACACACCAGCAUCGGUUGUCAAGCAAUGCUAGAGGGACAAACACAGACACACAAACAUAUACAUACACAUACAUACAUAUAUAUAUACAUAUAUAUACGACAGGCUUCUUUCAGUUUCCGUCUACCAAAUCCACUCACAAAGCAUUGGUCGGCCCGAAGCUAUAGCAGAAGACACUUGCCCAAGAUGCCACGCAGUGGGACUGAACCCAGAACCAUGUGGUUGGUAGGCAAGCUACUUACCACACAGCCACUCCUGAGCCUUGAGUUUUUUUUAAAACAAGCCCACACAAAUAAUUCUUUCUACUAUAUAAGCACAAGGUUUGAAAUUUCGGAGUUGGGUGGGGUGGGGUGCGGUGUAGUCGUUUACAUCGAUUCCAGUGUUCAACUGGUACUUUAGUUUAUCGAUCUCUGAAGUGAUGAAAGGUAAAGUCAACCUCAGCAUAAAGCCGGAAGGGAUCUUUGUGGUUUUCGUCACUGUUUAUAAUUACUUAAAAAAAAUUUCUUUUUAAUGUAUCAUAUAGAUGUAAUUAUUAACGCUGAAUCCGAAUUUGUUAUUCAUUUUAUUCCAUAAAAAUUUUGCAGGUGUUCAAAGUUUGAUCAUUUUCAGACAAUCAGAAAACAAGCACGUUCGCUUCCACCAUCCGGGUGUGUGGGGGUGGGGCGCCAGCAUGACAAAACAUUAAACUAACUACAGUAAACAAUGAAAAACAUGAAAACAUUCGCGAGCGAAUUGAAUAUUUAAAAGCUACGAACAAACCAACAGGAGUUGCUAGAAAUAAGUCAAAAUAUUAAAAUAUACACGAGCAAAGUUAACAUUAAAACAUUCGCAAGCAAAUUAAGUAUUUAAAAGCUACGAACAAACUAACAGGAGUUGCUAGAAAUAACAGUCAAGACAUUAAUUAAAAUAGACAUUUAUUACUUUAAAAAAAUUCAAGAACGAAUGUUUGCAAUGCCCUCUAGGAUUUUAUGAAAUAAAUUAUCUUUUUCGUAUUUCCUUCUCCACAUAAGAUAAGAGUCAACCAUGCCCAGAUACUUUCAAUUUGUUGAAUGUGAAUCCCAUCGUGGUGGUUACAGUCCUUGUGCGCACGCGCAAAAUAUUUGGUUACUAUAGAAACAGAUUUCUUCGCCACGGUGAUGUCUAAAAUACUCGCUUCUGAUUGGCUAAAAUACCCAAAUUUUGUAAAUUUUAAAAGUUAAUAACUUUUUAAUUAUGGAUUUAUAAGAAAAAUGAAUUUCAUUUUCAUAAUUUCCCCACGACACCUGAUGAAGGCUGGAGGGUAUAUCAGCCGAAACGUUGUAUUAACAACAAAUAAGAUGAAGACAAAUAUCCGUCAAAUGUAAAUAAUAUAAAUGAUGUUGGUUUGUUUAUAUUCUCGUAACUUAGCAGUGAGAAUUGAGUUGAUCAAUUGAAAUAUCUGUUGAUUGAAUUAGCGUGCAGGGCAAUCUUUCGAUAUUGGUACACUACUCCACACAAGCUUCCGUCAUGACAGAGAUAAAAGAGGCUAGGCUCAAAUUGAGGGUGAAUGACGUUGUCUCCUCACACAAGCACUCUGUAGACCAACAUCGAAGGAGUGCCGAAAUUCGCAUAGCAAGCACAACGUACCGGGUUCGAUCAAACUACGUAGUAUCUUGGGCAAGUGUCGUUUACCUUUUCCUCGGGUUCACCCAAGUUUUGUAAAUGAAAUUGGAUUGACGGAAACUGAACGAAUGUUUGUAGAAUAAGUUAUCUUUGUAAUACAGGGUUAGAGCGCUGCCACACUUACCGUCGCAUCAUGCCGAUUCUCCCCAAGGAUUAAGUUAAUGAGUGAUGCGCGUGUCUGUGACAUGCUCACCUCACGCGCACACACAUACAUCAAAGCGUUGUGAAUAGAUCUGGUAGAUGGAAAGUAAAAGGAGCCCUCAUGUGUGUGUGUGUGUAUAUAUAUAUAUAUGUGUGUGUGUGUGUGUGUGUGUGUGCCCAACCCACUGCUUGAAACCGGUGUUGGUUUGUUUACGACCCUGUAAAUUAGUUGUUCGGCAAAAGAGACCAAUAGAAAAAGUACCAGGCUUUUUUUAAAAAAACAAAAACAAACAAAAAUCAUAAGCUCGACUAAACCCUUCAAAAGCAGUGUGCCCCAUCAUCUGGUGACUGAAACAAGUAAAAAAAAAAAAAAAAAGAAGAUAAAUAACCACGUGAAAAAAACAGCGGAAAGAAAGCAUUGUUUUAAACGGAAGCACCAAGUUGAUCAAAUUGCCCUAGAAAUAAGGGGACAGAAUGAGAGGGGGAAUGGUAGAAAAACAAUAGGACGAAGAAAUUUGUAGUAUGUUGGUUUGGAUCUGAUACCGUUUCCAUCGUUUUGUUCUCGUUUACGGCUUUACGUUUCUCUUAUCUUCCUUCCUUCCUGUCUGCGAGUCCUUUAUUUUUCUAUCUGUGAGCCUUUAUCUUUUCUUUCUCCUCCCCACUUUCUCAUCUUUCAUCUUCAAUCAGUCUAGUAGUUAUAUCUUACCCCCUUUCCUUAUAUCUAUUCUCUCUUUAUUUUCUCUUCAUGGGCAAUGGUUGUAUGGUUAAGAAGCUCGCUUUGUAGCCACGCGGUUUCGGGUUCAAUUCCACUUGGUGGCACCUUGCACAAGUGUCUGACUGAUGUCUUUUGAGUGAAUUUUGGUUGACUGAUGUCUUUUGAGUGAACUUGAUUGCUCAUCAUAUCUGUCGAUCGAUCGGUCUGUCUGUCUGUCUGUCUCUACCUAUCUAUCUCACGGGUAAACCUCACCUGUCCUCCCCUUUACACUUCAUAUUGACAUUUCUGUGAUUACGAUCCCUAUUGAUCAACUUUUUUUCCCCUCUCCCCCCCUUUUUAAAAAAAAUCCUCCCCUUCUUUUUGUCCUCUUUCUUUCCUUUUACGAUCCCUUUUGAUCGAAAACCAACCCCCUUUUUUUUUACCCCCAAAAGAAAAGCUCUACCUUGUAAUUUGUUCUGUCUGUGUGCAGCCCUGUGUGGCUAAUAAAGAAACAUAUCUAUGUGUGUGUGUAUUUACUUGUCAUCCCCCGCUACUGCUUGACAACCGGUGUUGGUUUGUUAAAAUCCCCUUAACUUAGUGGUUCGGCAAAAGACGCCAGUAGAAUAAUUACUAGACUUUAAAAAAAAAAGCAUAAGUAAUGGAGUCGAUUUGUUCAAGUCGGUGCCCCCAGUAUGACCGCAGUUCAAUGACUAAAACAAAUAAAAAAAUUACCUCCUUAUUUUCACUCCCUCCCUCUCUCCCUCUUUUCUCUCUCUCUUUUCUCUCUCUCUCUCUCUCUCUCCCUCUUUCUCGUCGUCUUUUCUAUCCAUCAUCGUUUCUUCGUCUUUCACCUCCGUUUCUUACUUUUUUUCUUUGCUAUCUUUAUUUCAGAAUUUAAAAAAUAACAAACAAAAAAAUACAAAACUAUUAAAAACUAAUACAUAAAUAACUAAAUAAAUAAAUAAAUAAAUAAAUAAAAAUAAAUAUCAAGUAAAACAAAAUUACAAUAAAAGAUAACGAACUCCAACAAAAGAAAACAACAAAUCCUUAUAAUCUCACCCGUCCAACUUCACGUUGCCACCCAAAGCUUGCUGGAUUCGAAGUGAGAAACGGAAUCCAGUGUAAAGUGUAGUAUAAAUCUCAAGUUUAUUACGUUGAUGAAGUGAUGAUAGAGAGAGAAGCGAUGGCGGCUCCCUCUCUCUCAAAUGUAGACGGCGCGGGGUUUUUUUUUUCUCCCUAAAACGUCCAUUAAACUUCUGUCCAGACAACGAACAUUUGUUUCUGCUCCUGUACUAGUAGUAGUAGUAGUAGUAGUAGUAGUAGUAGUGGUAGUAGUAGGGUAUAUACCCCUUUAUCUUAUUGAUAUAAGUUUGCGUAUGUGUGCGUGCGGGCGCGCAUGUACUCUCUUUACUCUUUUUACUCUUUUACUUGUUUCAGUCAUUUGACUGCGGCCAUGCUGGAGCACCGCCUUUAGUCGAGCAAAUCGACCCCGAGACUUAUUCUUUGUAAGCCCAGUACUUAUUCUAUCGGUCCCUUUUGCCGAACCGCUAAGUGACGGAGAUGUAAACACACCAGCAUCGGUUGUCAAGCAAUGCUAGGGGGACAAACACAAACACGCAAACACAUACACACACACAUAUAUAUAUAUAUAUACAUAUAUACGACAGGCUUCUUUCAGUUUCCGUCUACCAAAUCUACUCCCAAGGCAUUGGUCGACCCGGGGCUAUAGCAGAAGACACUUGCCCAAGAUGCCACGCAGUGGGACUAAACCCAGAACCAUGUGGUUGGUUAGCAAGCUACUUACCACACAGCCACUCCUGCGCCUACUACUACUACUACUACUACUACUACAUGUAACUGUCCUAAGUAUCUUACCCUACCUAUGUUUCUUUAUAUUUUUUUUUAAUAUUUAUUUAGUUUAAGCACGUUCACUCCCACUCAGAUAUGCACGAUCACUUGCAUACACACACACACACACACACACACUUUUACUUGUUUUUAGUCCCUGGAUUGUGGCCACGAUGGGGCACCACACAUUGAAUUCUUUAGUCAAUUAGAUCAACCCCGGUGCUUAUUCUUUGAAAGCCUGCCUCUUUUCCCCCUUUUUAUCACAAGCACGCACUCUGACACACACAGGAUCGCUUCACCUGUUAAAAAUAGUGACCAAAUUUCCUUCGAACGACAGAAAAAAAAAGCGCAGGAGUGACUGUGUGGUAAGUAGCUUGCUUCCCAACCACAUGGUUCUGGGUUCAACUACAUGGUUCUGAGUUCACCAAUAGUAUCCACGCACGCACGCGGCAGCGAGCUGGCAAAAUCGUUACCGCGCCGUACGAAAUGUUUAGCAGUAUUUCUUCUGGUUCUUUACAUUCUGAGUUCAUAUUCUGCCGAGGCCGACUUUGCCUUUAAUCCUUUCGGAGUCGAUAUAAUUAAGUACUAGUCAAGCACUGGAGUCCAUGUAAUCGACUUAGCUUCUGCCCACAAACCGCUGGCCUUGUUCCAAAUUUUGAAACUAAUAUAUAUAUAUAUAUAUAUAUAUAUGCACACACAAUACGAAGACUUGCUUUAAAAAUGGCUCGUGUCACUAAGAGUUUUUUGAGAAAAUUUCUUCAUAUAUGCGCGCGCAUAUGUUGUGUGUGUUUGUGUAGUUGUCUUAUUAGAUCCAAGAUCGAACCUGUUAGUGAUUCUUACCCCACCUCUCUCUCUCAUGUAUGUAUGUAUGUAUGUAUGUAUGUGUGUGUGUGUGUGUGAACUUUUAUUCACAACGCCCACAUUCGAAUAAUGGUAGUCUUAUCCGUUCUCCAAACACACACCUACAUAGUAUGUAUUUAAGCAUUGGGCCCUUUUAAGGUAUAUAUAUCCCAUUCCUUUGAAAUCUUGUUUGCCAAAACAUUAACUCUGCGCUACAAAGAUAGAAAUAUCUUUUUGUUUUCUGUCAUGCAUACACAUAUACUGAAAGAUAUUUUCUUUCGGUCAUAUAUAUUAUAAAAACGAAUACGUCUCCACCAAUUACAAAUUGUUCACACUACGCUAUCUUUGUUUUCCUCUCGCACCACCUCUCACUCACUCUCUUUCUCAUCUCCUUCACUAUGAUUUUCUUUGGUAGAGUAUUUUUUUCUGUACCUUACUUCUGUCUUGUAUAUAUAUAUUUUUUGUAGAUUGAUUCAUUUUCAUAUACGAGAGAAUGCUGAAAAGUCCCUGACUUUAAGGGUGUCGCGAAAGGCUUGGCGGGAGGCCAAACCUUCCGAGUCCUUUUACGGGGUUUAGAAAAACUGAAGGACCACUGCAAUAAGUGUGAAUCUGAGAAGGGAAUAUGUUGCACAAAAUCAUAAUUAACUGAUCCUCCUGUAUUUUCUUUUAUCCAAAGCCAGAAACUUUUCAGCACCCCCUCGUACACGCUGGAGAAGGUGGCUGUAGUGGUGUGGUAAUUGCGGUGGUGGUGGUGGUGGAUUUUAUUAAGUGUUGCUACCGGUUCUGCCAUGUCCCAAAUCUUCAGAAAGAUCUCAAACACGGCUGUAGCAAGAUUAAGCAUUUAUCAAGUUUAGAGUGCGACCGUUACUAUAUAUUAAUUAGACAGAAUUAAAGGGAGUCGGUGGACAGUCAACCGGUAUAUAUUAUUGACUCGGGGACUAGAGAGCCAAAGUGGAACUGUGUCUGAUGGGUCCCACCUGAAAACGGAAAACUGUCAACUCUUGCAUCCCCUUGUACAGCAAAGGAAGAGGGAAAAUAGCUAAAAACGGUAAAGUCCUUAAUUUUUGUUUCCUCUAAUCCCAGAUGAACCCACAUCGUGACAGGAAGCACAAGGACAGCUCCAUCCUACUCGCUUCUUCAACAAAAAUAGUACAGAAAGAUCUCCAAAACACUGAAAGGCGGUGCACCAGCUUCUGGCUGAAACCAAUAAAAAAUAAAAGAAUAUCACAAAGCUGUAACAUUCUGUAUGUGCUUUUCAAUUUGACGUGACAUGUCAAUUUCAGAUUUGUGUUUGUUGUCGUGAUGAGGAGGCCUGUCAGUUUGCAGAAUGUGUUUAGUUAUUACGCUUUACGUUCUGAGGAGGCGCAAUGGCCCAGUGGUUAGGGCAGCGGAUCGCGGUUUCGAUUCCCAGACCACGCGUUGUGAGUGUUUAUUGAGCGAAAACACCUAAAGCUCCACGAGGCUCCGGCAGGGAUGGUGGUGAUCCCUGCCGUACUCUUUCACCACAACUUUCUCUCACUCUUUCUUCCUGUUUCUGUUGUACCUGUAUUUCAAAGGGCCGGCUUUGUCACUCUGUGUGUCACGCUGAAUAUCCCCGAGAACUACGUUAAGGGUGCACGUGUCUGUGGAGUGCUCAGCCACUUACACGUUAAUUUCACGAGCAGGCUGUUCCCUCAUCGUCGUAACUGACGGAGUGCUUCCACAUUGACGUUCUGAGAUCUAAUCAUGCCGAAGUCAACUUUGACUUCAUCCUUGUGGUUGGGGAGAUAACAUAUUAGACAAGUACUUGUUCUAAUUUAAUCGACUAUACCCUCCAUCUAAAUUUAAAACCUUAUACUUACCUGAGGGAAUUAAUAGAAUUAUAAGUGCAUCGGACAAAAAUGCCUGGCAUUAUUUGUUCCGGCUUUUACGUUUUAUGUUCAAAUCCUGUUGAAUUCAACUUUGUCUUUCAUUCUUCCUGGUUCCUAAAUAUCCUUUCUAUGCUAGGGACAAGGCCUGAAAUUUGGCGGGAUUUCAUCGACUCCUAUAAUUUGACUGAUACUUAUUCUAUCAAUCCCGAUAGACUGAAAGACAAAAUCUACCUACAGGUUUUUAAAUAUAAGGUUAUCCAAAUGCUAGAGUCGGCAUGGUCGGAUUUUCCCUUCGCCUAUCUUGACGCUUGUGUCUAUGUAAGAACUUGAUGUAUUCACGCCUCAUCUAUUGACUACUUUAUUUUCCUUUCUUAAUAUAUGUAUCCUGUGUUUCGGCAUUAGUGAAGUUGCAUUCUUUGAAGAAGUGUCCUUGUGACCUUGUUAAAUUAUCUUCGUUGUGAAAAUUGUGCCACAAUCCAUAAUUUGAAAAUCCAUUAUCGUACUAGUCGGGUCAUUGCUACUUAACUACUCCCGUGACAGGGCAGUCUCACGCAAAUUAAUUUAUUUCCUCCAUCAGCUGUUUGUAUAUUGUCUAUAUGUGUAUGUGUAAGCUUGUUGUGUGGUUUUCUUGCCCUCGAACGGGGAACAUACAAACUGCCAUAAUUGUUAAAGAAAAAAAAAAAGGUAUUUUAUUACCAAAUAUGGUAAGCAAUACUUUCUAAAUGGUUUUGACAUAUGAGAAAAAUUUUACGAUUUUACGUCCACCCCCAACCCUAUCAAAUAUAUUUUCUCUUUAACCCCGUUUUCUUUCUUUUUCAUUUUCUUUUCUACUCUUAUUCUUUCCUUUUCUUUUCACUUAUUUGAUAUAUUUAUAUCAAGAUGUAUAUAUGUAUGUAUGUAUGUAUGUAUUAAUAAUAAUGAAAUUGUGUGUGUGUAUGUGUGUGUUGUGUGUGUUGUGUGUGUGUGUGUGUGUGUGUGUGUGUAAGUGCGCGCAAAUACCAGAAAUUCAAGACCUGAAUCUCCAGAUACUCUCUGAAAUAAGUGUGUCCAAAAGAGUUUUACAUCUGUCUUCAUUUAACCCACUUUUACACACCUUCCUACCCACCCAAGCGCAUGCGUGCACACACACACACACACACUCACACACACACACACACUCACACACACACACACACACACUCAUACAGACACACACAUCGAGAUACAUGUGUGCGGUACAUUAAAUGCUAAAUUCAGACAGAUUAUGAUAUUCAGUGGAACAUUUUUUUUGCCAUGGAAUUAAAAAGGAAAGAUUCAAAAACAGAGAGAAGCAACAUUUUUAUGUUAAAGUCUAUUAUAUUAUAUCAGGCUUGCCUAUCCUUCCCCAGACAGUCACUCGCGCGCGCGAAUCUGUGAAAGCGCAUCCAUUAUAUAUAUAUAUAUAUAUAUAUAUAUUCUGGUCUUGUGGGAGAUCGGGCGAUAUAAUAUUUUUAUGUCUCGUAAUAAGAAUGGCCGAUUCAAAUUGUAUUUAUCUUUUGCGUAAAUCUCAAUUAUUCUACGAACGAUGAAAAGAGACGAAGCUUAACGGUGUUGACAAUUUGUUUUAUUCACAGAUCCUCUUAUUGUCCGUUUUGUCUCUUAAAAUUUCCAGUUUUUCUUUCGGAGGCGGGGUGGCGAUGGUAAUGAUGAGGGUGGAGGUGUUAUGGUUAUAACACCUUGUCUGAGGCGUUAUACUAAACUAAAGCUUUUUUUUUUUUAGGUAUUUAUUUUUUUCGUUUAUUUCUGCCAUUCGUAAGAGUUCUAUCUUUAGUCAAGACGUUCUUUAUUCAGUGGAGAAACCAGUUCGCUUUAUUUUAUUUUAAUCUUUUUUUUUUUAAAGUUCAGCUUUCCCUGGAUCAUCUGUUCUCUUCAGGUAAUAUCUCUGUCUGUUUGUAUAACAGCCACCUGUUGCUUUUCCUUUUUUACAUUUUUCUCAUUUUCUGAGGAAUGAUUAUCAGCCGAAUCGUCGAGACUUUCCCUUUUUAAGCAUUAAAUUAAUACAUUUUCUAAAACUCAUGCCGUAUGUUUGUCUUCUUUUUGUGUUUAUUGCUUAGCACUCCCCUAUAUAUAUAUAUAUAUAUAUAUAUAUAUGUGUGUGUGUAUAUCGUUUGUGUGGAUGUGUGUGUGUAUACACAUGCACACACACUGAUAAUGCCUGAUGAGGUAGAAUAUUUACAUUUACCUCUCUGUUAGCAGUUUUUAGGCUUCUUAGUCUUUUAUCAGAGAAAAAACACUUACCUCCUGUCCAUGUGAUGAUUAGUCGUGAUACUCCGUCAGUUACGACGACGAGGGUUCCAGUUGAUCCGAUCAGCUGAACAGCCUGCUCUUGAUAUUAACGAGCAAGUGGCUGAGCGCUCCAUUGACACGUGUACCCUUAACGUAGUUCUCAGAGAGAUUCAGCAUAACACAGAGUGUGACAAGGCUGGACCUUUGAAAUACAGGUACAAUAGAAACAGGAAGAAAGAGGGAGAGAAAGUUGUGGCGAAAGAGUACAGCAGGGUUCGCCACCUCUCACCCUCUACCGGAGACUCGUGGAGCUCUAGGUGCUUUUGCUAAAACACUCACAACGCUCAGUCUGGGAAUCGAAACCAUGAUCCUAUAACCAUGAGUCUGUUGCCCUAACCACUGGGACAUUGCGCCUCCACUGAUGAUUAGUAAUACAUAGCUAUUUAUAGUGUAUUCAAACUAGGACUCAGCUAAACUGCUCAGUCUAAUUUGCAUAACAGUGUAUGUUUUGACAGCAAGAAUUAAUACAUAGAGUACUGUACAACAUCUUAUAAAUAAUUUCACAUUGAAGGUAUAUCUGUUUUCAUUUACAGAGCAAAUAAACUGUGAAACCAUAAGAUAUUUUAAUGUUCUUUUUCUCCCAUAUGACUUACCAACAAAGUAUCAAAUCUACAUAGGACACAGAUUCAUACACACACACACAAUGUGUGUGUGUGUGUAUCUUUUACUUACUGGUUUUGGGCAUUAGAUUGCAGUGUUGCUAGAGCACUUUUUUGAAGAAUCUUUAAUCAAAUGAGUCAACUCCAGUACACUUUAUAAAGCCUGGUACUUAUUCUAUCAGUCUCUUUUACAGAACUGAUAAGCUGUGGGGAUGUAAAUGCACCAACACCAGUUGUCAAGCGGUGGUGACAGGAGAAACACACACACACACACAUGCACUCAGAUCUACAAAUGUAUAUAUAUAUAUAUGUGUGUGUGUGUUUGUGUGUGUAUAUAUAUAUAUGUAUGCAUGUAUAUAUUUGAUUGGCUUCUUUCAGUUUCUGUCUACCAAGUCCACUUACAAGGCUUUGCUCAGCCUGAGGCUAUACAAGGCACACACCUUAGGUGCCCAUAGUGGGAACCCAGAACCAUGUGGUUGGGGAGCCAACUUCUUAAACCCCUGCACACUUUGGGAUCACAUAACACUAGUCAGCCUGAAGCUAUGGUGCAACACAAUUGCACAAUUGACCAUACAACAGGACUGAACUUGGAACCAUGAGGCUGAAUAGAGAACAUUGUCAGCUAUAUAUAUAUAUAUAGGUGCAGUCAUGGCUGUGAGGUAAGAAGCUUGCUUCCCAACCACAUGGUUCCGGAUUCAGUUCCACUGCAUGGCACCUUGGACAAAUGUAUUCUACUAUAGCCUUGGACUGACCAAAGCCUUGUGAGAGGAUUUGGUAGAUGCAAACUAAAAGAAGCCCAUCGUAUAUAUAUAUAUAUAUAUAUAUAUAUAUAUAUAUAUAUAUAUAUAUAUCUAUGUGUGAGUGUGCUUUUAUAUCUGUGCUUGUCCUCCACUACUGAUUGACAACUGGUGUUGAUGUGUUUAUGUCCCUGUACCUAGCAGUUCAGCAAAGAGACACCGAUAGAAUGAGUAACAGGCUUUAAAAAAGAGAAGAUAAGCUCUGGGGUUGAUUUGCUCAAGUAAAACCCUUCAGGGCAAUGCCCCAGCAUGGCCACAGUCAAAUGACUGAAAGAAUAGAAGAAUAUCUGUACUUUAACACAAUCAAUCUUGACCAGAUUAUGCCAUCUAAACUAUGACUAGUGCUUUGUUUUCUUAUAGAAAUUGUAGGAUGUAGCCAACCUUAUCUGAAUGCAAAGCCCCAUAUAUGCCUUCUGUUAAUGUUAAUGCAAGGAGACAUGUAUGCAAAAGUAAUUUCAUGGUCGAUAUACUUUGUAUAUUGAGAAGGGUAAAUGUGUAUUAGAGUGGAACAGUGAGUACAUGAAACAUCAACACUGGAACCGUAUUAUCUUGCAUGCUAUCAUUAUGUUUAUUCUAUCAACUCACCUAUGUGUGUGUGUUUGUGUGUGUUGUCAGUGCUGUUUAGUCCCAGGUAAAACUUUUAACAAACCUAUGAUCAAAAGCUUUCCACUCAGGAUCAUCCUGUCUUUACAUUACUGUAACUAAUAAAUUGGAAGUGUUUGAUUUGAGGUAGAUUUAGCUAUUGCUUCUGGCAAGUUGAGUGACCAGUCAGUGGCCUCACUGGCUCAAGUGCAUGUCUGCAUGUGAAUAUGCAUGUGGAUGAUUGCAUACUCUGAGAAUUUUUCCUUUAAGGUUUUAUUAUUGUUCCCUUUUUUCCAACACUAGCAAUUUUGCCAGCAUAUCAAUAAUAAUAAUAAUAACAGUGGUUUCAAAUUUUGCCACAAGGGCAGCUGUUUUGGGGAAAGUGAUUAGUUGAUUACAUCAACCCCAGUGUUUCACUGGUACCUAAUUCAUUGACCUCGAGAAGAUAAGGAAAAUUGACCUUGGUGGAAUUUGAACUCAGAAAUUAGCGACAGGCGACAUACCGCUAAGCAUUUUCUCUGGCGUGCUCACGAUUCUGCCAGCUUGCCACCUUGGAUAAUAAUAGUAAUAAUCUUUUCUACAAUAGGUACAAGGCCUGAAAUUGGAACAGGGGGAUAGUCAAUUACAUCGCCGCCCUCCCCGCUGAUAGGAUGAAAGGCAAAGAUGACCUUGGCAGAACUCAGAACAUAAAGAUAGAGAAAUAAUAAUAAUAAUAGCAAGAGCACUCAGAGAAUGCAAACCUCCACCAAGGCAACACCAAUGUCCUCUCAAUAAUUAGCCAGGGAUGAUUUUUAAGAUGAGAAUAUCUGUAAUAAACUCGAAUGCUCUCACAAACAAGAAUGCUAAAAAUGAACCUGACCACUCUCAAAAAUAAAGUAAAAAAACAGAAAAAUAGUCCAGUAUCUUUGUUUGGUACCAGAUUGAUACCAAAAUCUAAUCACUUUGUGCCAGUCACAAGGCCAAACAUCCCUGAAAGUUUUAUCUGAAUCUGUCCUGUGGUUCUUGAGAUAUCUUGUCCUUGGGCAAACAAACAAGCACAACUGAAAACAAUUCCUCUGCCUUCACUAAGGUGGAAGUAAUAAUGAUAAUAAUAAUAAUAAUAAUAAUUAAUAAUCCUUUCUACUGUAGGCACAAGGCCUGAAAUUUGGGGGAAGGGAUUAAGUUGGUUACAUUGACCUCAGUGCAUAACUGGUACUUAUUUAAUCGAUCCUUUCAGGAUAAAAGGCAAAGUCAAACCUAGUGGAAUUUGAACUCUGAAUGUAGUGACAGAUGAAAUACUACUAAGCCUUUCACCUAGCGUGCUAACGAUUCUGCUAGCUUGCCACCUUAAAUGAUAUUAAUAAUAUCCCUUUCCAAUAUAGGCACAAGGACUGAAAUUUUGCGAAGGGGGAUAGUUUAUUGCAUGUCUGCUGUUUAUUUUAUUGACUCCAAAAAAGGAUGAAAGAUAAAGUCAGACUUGGCAGAAUUUGAACCCAGCAUGUAAAGAGCUAUAAAAAAAGCCCUCCAAGUAUUUUGUCCAACUCGCUAAUGAUUCUACCUGCUCACCACCUUUUUUUUAACUAUGUUGAUAGUUCUUUCUUCUAUAAGUAUGAGCUUGAAAUUUGGAAGCGCUCAGCUGGUAAUUAUUUUAUCAACCGCCCCCCCCCCUCAAAUGAAAGGCAGGCAAAGUUGGCCUUGGCAGAGUUUCAACCCAGAACCUUAAAAGCUGUAAAAAAAUGCUGCUAAGCAUUUUGUCUGACUUGCUAACAAUUCUACCAGCUCUCCGCCUUAAUGAUAAUGAUGGUGAUGGUGAUGAUGAUGAUGAUGAGUGUUCUAUGACAAUAAAAGAAAUUGGUAAAAGACUGCAUUCAGAAUAAGCAAGACGGUGUGUGAAUGAAAUGUAGGUGUGUAUGUGUGUGACUGUGUAUUUAUGUUUGUGUGUGUAUAAUAUAUAUAUGUAUGUAUGUGUAUAUAUAUAUAUACAUACAUAUAUACAUACAUAUAUGUAUAUAUAUAUAUAUAUAUAUAUGAAGGUGCAUGGCUCACUGGUUAGUGUCGAGCUUACAAUCGUGAGGUUGUGAGUUCGAAUCCUAGACCAGGCUGCGUGUUGUGCUCUUGAGCAAAACACUUUAUUUUACAUUGCUCCAAUUCACUCGCUAACUGUAGAAAUGAGUUGUGACGUCAUUGGUACCAUGCUGUAUUGGCCUUUGCAUUUCCCUUGGAUAACACUGGUGGCAUGGGAGACUGCUGGUCUUCCGUAAACAUCCCUGCCCAGACUUGUGCCUGGGAGGGUAACAUUCUAGGUGCAAUCCCAUGGUCAUUCAUGACCGUAGAGGGUCUCAGCAUAUAUAUAUACAUACACAUAUAUGUAUAUGUGUGUGCAUCCAUAUGUAUAUGUGAAUGUAUAUGUAUAUAUAUAUACAAGAGAAUAAUUUUAUAACUUCGUUAAACUGAAAAGCAAUUUUGUUAAACUGAAGAACAAAAAUAAAAAUAAAAAUAGGACUUCAGCUGGAAGUGCUCAGGUGACACUGAGGCGAAAGGAGAAAUAAAUUGAAACGUAUAAUGAAGAAACACUCCAGUUGGUCAAAACAACUUUAUAUCAUUCCCAAAUUAUCAAAAACCAAAUAUGAAUAUAUAUUAAAACAAUAGGGUCGCCAAUGGUAAAACCUAACAAUAUAAAAUAUACACAUAUACAUGAAUAAAAGGUGAUAAAACCUAAAAGGGUAAGUCGAAUGAAGAAAAAUAUAGGGAAUAAUUAAUCUUCUCUCUCUAUAUAAACGGCAGUUUGUCUGUGUGUGUUUCUGUGUGUCUGUUAGGUUGUACCCUCACCCUGACCACUGCUUUCAACCGAUUCUGAUGAAACUUGACACACACAUAGCCCAAUGUCAUAAUUCAAAACUAACGCAGCGAAAAUUUUGAAAAGUUCCCCCAGUUCUGAAAAAAAUCGAUAAAUUCGACAUGGGGUCGAGAAUCAGAAACACAAACCACAGACUGUCUAGGGGACGCAACUCGACCCUUUUUAACUCUCAAAAAAAAAUUUACCAUCAUUUUUUUCCAUUUUUUUGCUAUUUUUUGGCUAUAACUCUCUAAAAAUGCUUUAUAGUUAUUUCCCUUACAAACCCGAGCAACGCCGGGCGAUACUGCUAGUGUAUAAUAAAGGCGACUAAAAGAUUAAGGCAAUGGCGCUAAAAUAACGUAAAUAUAUAAAAAUGCGAGAAUUAAAAGAUAAAAAAUAAAGUGUAAGGCAACUAGGAUGGUCCAUUCAACCCCAUCUCUACAAUCGUUUCAAAGGAUGCUGCUUCACAUCGUUAAUGUACAGAGUGAGGAUAUAAAAUUCUUGGCAUCUGUGUGUGUGUGUGUGUGAAUACAUAUAUCUAUAAAUGCAUACAUACAUGACUAUUAUGUGUAUUUCUGAAAAAUUAUUAAUCUAAAGCACAGCUGUGAUGAUAGUUUAUCUUGUUAAUUUAACCUGCAACCACCAUCCGUAUCUCUGUUGCCUUGUAUUUUGAUUUGUUACCAAUACUUAAUCUCCACAUCCUUCAUUUCUUCAGUUACUGGGAUUUCACCGUAUAUCCCCCCACCCCCCCGCUGCCACAAAUUUAUACAUAUACAAGUUAACAUUUUAGCAGUGACAUGGGCUUUUAUAUGUAAUGAUUAUUUUUUUUUUUUUUGUAGGAGGAGUAAGGGAUAAAUGGUGAAAUACUGAAAUACAUAGAGUGGAGGGGCUAAAUGUGUGAGAAAAGUUUUAGAACCAUAAAUAUAAAAACUGCCUCAUUGGUGCAGGAGUAGCUUGCUUACCAACCACAUAGUUCUGGGUUCAGUCCUACUGCGUGGCACCUUGGGCAAGUGUCUUCUACUAUAGUCUCGGGCUGACCAAAGUCUUGCGAGUUAGGAUGUAACAGUUUUCAGUGAAGCAGCAGUCUCAGAAAAAUUGAAGAUUAUCAGCAUCUUUCUCAAAGAACUUAUUCAAAAUAUAGGGAAAUUGUGAAUGUGUGUGGGGGUGGGGGUGGAGAGGAGAAGGGUGUAUAUAUCUGUUCCAAGUUGUAGGGUAUUGUUUUCCACCUUGAUAUCACACUUUUCGUAGGGGCACAUCUUCAUGGCUAAGUCACAGGCUCUCUCUUUUACUUGUUUCAGUCAUUUGACUGUGGCCAUGCUGGAUCACCACCUUUAAUCGAGCAACUCGACCCCGGGACUUAUUCUUUGUAAGCCCAGCACUUAUUCUAUCGGUCUCUUUUGCCGAACCGCUAAGUUACGGGGACAUAAACACACCAGCAUCGGUUGUCAAGCAAUGCUAGGGGGACAAACACAGACACACAAACACACACACAUACAUAUAUACGAUGGGCUUCUUUCAGUUUCCGUCUACCAAAUCCACUCACAAGGCUUUGGUCGACCCAAGGCUAUAGUAGAAGACACUUGCCCAAGGUGCCACGCAGUGGGACUGAACCCGGAACCAUGUGGCUGGUAAACAAGCUACUUACCACAUGUAACUUUUAUUAACACUUUCUCUUAACCUGUUAAAAGAAUGCUGGGUACUGUUGAUACAUAAGUGUGUGUGUGUGUGUGUGUGUGUGCAUGCACGCAUGUUUCUGUGUGUGUAUAUAUACACACUGCAAAUAAGUAACAGUUUUUAAGAAGUGUAUGUACACAUUUAUAUACAUCAUGCGUAUCUGUAUAUAUGAUCUGCUCCACACUCACAUACACACACACACACACACACAACACACACACACACACACAUAUAUAUAAUUGUGUGUGUUGUGAUAUUUGUUUAUAUGACUGAUUGUCACAUAAACUAUUCUUUUAGUAAUUGAAAAUUCACAGCAUAUCAUACAAGAAUAGCUUUAAAGUAAGCAGAGCAGAAAGUUAGGUCUAUGGGAGAGCUGAGAUGAAAUGUAGCAGGGACUUGGAUUUUUUUUUUUUUUUUUUUUUUAAAAGGGGGCUGGAAAUUUGGUCUGUCUUUCUUCUCCACCCUACUGUCAUUAGUUUAUUCUUCAAAGAACCCUCCUUUAACAACUGCUCAGUCAACACAAAUUAUCUUCCAGGUGGAUUUGUUUAGAUUUGAUCCUCCCCCUUACAACCAGCUCUUGGCCUUUCCACUAUUGUGGCCAAUGAAUGACUUUGCUAUAGAAUGGAAGAGAUAAAUUAUACAAGACAAGACCAGACCAUACUCUUGCCUCUACUGUAGCCCCCAUGUGCAAUAAGGCUUUGGGCUGAUAUGAGAGUUGGUAUUGAAUGUGGGUAUGGGUAUUUUAAAAUUUCAUCUCAUUUAAGUUGCUAACGUUAUUGACAAAAGCAUGAACAUCACACAAUUUCAUACUCCAUUUUCUGUGUAUGAAAUUAUAAUCAUUAUUCCACAAUGAUUAAACUUUGUUGGAUUUUGUCACUCUUAAUUUGCUAGCAUAAUUGUUGUUUUAGCUUUGUGUUAAUCUUGAUCAGAGACACCAUUUCAUAUGUUUUUUUUUUUACACAUUUUAUAUCUAAAAAUUUAUAGUAUAUCUAGGAGUAAUUGCUGGCAUGACUAUGUGGUUGAGAAGAGUACUUCCCAACCACCAUUUGGUUUCAGGUUCAGUUCCACUGCAUGACACCUUGUGCAUGUGUCAUCUAUGAUCCCAGCCUGAUCAAAGCUCUGUAAAUGGAUUUGGUAGAUGGAAGCUGAAAGAACCUGUCGUAUGUGUGUUUGUGUAUUUCUAUGUAUGUAUGAAUAAAUGUAUGUUUGUGUCUUCUAGGCUUAACAUCGUACGAUUGUUGUAAAUGAAUUUCAUUCAUUUCCAAUAUUCUGCAAAAACAUGUCUGACCACGAGGAAAUAUUAUCUUGCUUGGAAACAAGUGAAGGUUAGCAAGAGAAAGGGUAUCCAACUGUAGAAAAUUUGCUUCAGUAACCUCCAACUGAUCCAUGCAAGCAUGGAAAAAUAGGCAUUAAAAUAAAUAUUAAAAAAGUGUUAUCUAGGAAUUCUCUUUCUUGAAUCCUUUUCUUGAAAGUUUGUCCCUUUGACCAUGGCCACACUGAAGCACAAUAUCAAAGGGUUUUUUGUUGUUUGAUCCUGGGUCUUUGACUGGUACUUAGUUCCUCAAUCUCUUUUACUUGUUUCAGUCAUUUGACUGUGGCAUUGCUGGAGCACUGCCUUUAGUUGAGCAAAUUGACCCCAGGACUUAUUUUUGUAAGCCUAGUCCUUAUUCUAUCAGUCUCUUUUGCCAAACUGCUAAGUUACAGGGACGUAAACACACCAGCAUCGGUUGUCAAGCGAUGUUGGUGGGGACAAACACAGACACACUAACAUACACACACACACACACACACACACACACACACACACACACACACAUAUAGACAUAUAUACAAUGGGCUUUUUUUCAGUUCCCAUCUACCAAAUCCAUUCACAAGGCUUUGGUCAGCCUGAGGCUAAAGUAGAAGACACUUGCCCAAGGUGCCACGCAAUGGGAUUGAACCCGGAACCAUGUUGUUGGUAAGCAAGCUACUUACCACACAACCACUCCUAUGCCCAUCUCAUGAGAUAUGAAAUGGAAAAAGGUGAUAACUUGAGUGGGCAUAAAUACUGCCAAGUAUUUUGACUCUAUUAAGAAUAUUGAGUGCCCCUGUCACUAUAUGUACUACAGUUAGCCUUAAAAUUCCUUUAAAGCAGCUAUGGGCAAACUGCAGUCUGUGGGACUUUCUGAUAAGCACACCAACAAAAAUUACUUAUUUGAAUGUUUUAGUAGUGUAGCCCACCUGAUGAUGAACAAUGUCUGAUGUGGCUUGCUUCUCAAAAAAGGUUGCCCAUGUCUACUCUAAAAUAACAACCUGAAUAGUAACAUAUAUAUAUGUACACACACAUAUAUACACACAUACAUACAUACAUCAUCAUUAUCAUCAUCAUCAUUUAAUGUUCUUUGUCCAUGUUGGCAUGGGUUGGACGCUUUGACCAGGGCUGACAUGCUGGAAGGCUACACCAGACUCCAGUCUGAUUUGGUAUGGUUUCUACAGCUGGAUGCCCUUCCUAAUGCCAACCACUCCGAGAGUGAAAUGGGUGCUUUUACGUACCACUAGCAUGGGUGCUAUUUGUAUGAUGCCAGUAUCUGCCACGACUAUGAUUUUGCUUGGCUUGAUGGGUCUUCUUCUCAAGCACGACAUAAUGCCAAAGGUCUGUCAUUCGUCAUUGCCUCCAUGAAGCCCAACACUCAAAAGGUGCUUUUCACAUGCCACCAGCAUUGACUACCCUACCUCUGUGAGGCCCAAUGCUCAAAUGGUGCUUCUUACAUGCCACCAGCAUGGGUGCCAGUUAUGUGACACCAGCAACUAUGAUUUUACUUCGCUUGAUGGCUCUGCUCAAGCACAGCAUAUUGCCAAAGGUCUUUGUCACUAGUCUUUCCCUCCAGGAGGCCCAAAGUUUGAAGAUCAUGCUUCACCACCUCGUCUCAUGUUUCACCACCUCAUAUUUAUAUGAUGUGUGCACAUACACUUGUAUGAAAGGCUACUGCCUAGAUUUCUUCAUUGUGUUUCACUCACAAAGUAUUAAUCUACAAAGACUAUUGUUGAAAACAAUUCCCCAAAGUGCUGCACAGUAGGAUCAAACCUGGAUCCAUGUAGUUUCAAAAUGUAUUUCUUAACCAUAUGUCUAUGCAUAAGACUCCUCUCUUUAAAUGCCAGUUUCGAAAGCCAUUCUAUUACUGAAUUUACACAAAUGAUUGCUAAAUAUUAAUGUUGGGAAGUAGAUGGUCAUAAGCUCCAUCUUUACUACAGUCAUCAUUAUGUUGAGUUGUAUGGCAAUGCAUACUUCCUUAUUUUGCUAACGAGGGUGCCUCUACAUAGAUGUUUGGCCUUCUAGAAAUAGCAGGUAUAUCUCUUUUAUAUCACAUCCUCUCAUCUUCGAGAAAAAGUUGCACAAUGGAUAAUGUAGUCCUGAAUGCAGUCUGCCUAGAGAAAAAGGCAUGAUAGUCAUGACUGGAAUAUCUUUAAUCAAAGUUGACCAAGAGCUAAAUAAUAACAAAAACCACCUUCUGAUAAGUUCCUCCACUCCUACUUCACAUCAGCAGAUAUGAAGUGCAUCCAGCUAUAAAAACAAUUUCUCAACCAAGAAAUUGCCUCUGGUUGUAGAUGAGUAAGUAGGUGUGUGCAACUGAAACAACGCAUUGGGAAUGUUUUUGGCUUUUGUUAUGUGAUUGAGAUUUAUUGUUAAAGCAAUAAGGCGUUUCAUUCACCAGAACGCUUAACCUCGUCUACUUGUCUGUCAGUCUCUCCCAUGCUUGUCUCUGUUUAUCUCUCCUACAUUUGUCUCUGUCUAUUAUUCUAUAUUUGUCUGUUAGUCUGUCUAACCACCUCUUUUCUAUAUAUAUUUCUUUACUGCCCACAAGGGGCUAAACAUAGAGGGGACAAACAAGGACAAAGGAAUCACAAUGACCCCAGUUGCAAAACUGGUACUUUAUUUAUCGACCCUGAAAGGAUGAAAGGCAAAGUCGACCUCGGCGGAAUUUGAACUCAGAACAUAACGACAGAUGAAAUACCGCUAAACAUUUCGCCUGGCGCGCUAACGUUUCUGCCAGCUCGCCACCUUUUUUCUAUAUAUAUUAGGCAUAGGCAUGGCUGUGUGGUAAGAAGCUUGCUUCCCAACCACAUGGCUCUGAGAUCAGUUUCACAGUACGGCACCUUGGGCAAGUGUCUUCUGCUAUAGACUCUUCUAAAAGAUAAAAGAUGUGCAUCCAGUUAGUGUUCAUGUAUGUGGGUGUAUCUAGCCAUCAUGUCUGUCUGUCUGUCAAUCAAUCAAUCAAUCUCCUAUCUGUCUGUUUAUGCAUCUUUAUUACUACUUACCAGCUGUUCCGUGUCUAUGCUCAUCAAACUGUUUUCUGUCACCAGCUGGUAGUUCUUCUCUCUAUCUAUCUAUCGCUCUCCUUUCUUUAUCUAUGUCUGUCUUUGUUUCUGUCUCCUCUUUAUUUUUCUAGUUAUUGCUCUUCAUCAUCAUCAUCAUUUAACGUCCGUUCUCCAUGCUAGCAUGGGUUAGACGGUUCGACCGGGGAUCUGGGAAGCCAGAAGGCUGCACCAGGCUCCGGUCUUAUCUGGCAAUGUUUCUACAGCUGGAUGCCCUUCCUAACGCCAACCACUCCGUGAGUGUAGUGGGUGCUUUUUACGUGCCACCUGCACUGGUGCCAGGUGAGGCUGGCAUCGGCCACGGUCGGAUUGGUGCAUUUUACGUGCCACCUCUCUAUAUAUUUAGCUUUUCUCUCUUGCUCUAUAUUAACUCUUCUCUCUCUUUCUAUUUCACUAGCUUUUAACCUUCUCAGGCUGUAGUCUUCAUCUCUCUCUAGCAAUGAUUUUGUCUGUCAGAUUUUAUCAUCUAUUUAUAAUCUUUCUUUUUCAUUUUCCAGAUUACCACUUGGAUUUUACAAUGUUACUUUAUUUAUACCGGAACAUUACAUAAAAUCAACAAGUAAGUAUAUUUUGAUUUUGGCUAAAUAUAUCUAUGAAUGAUUGGCCCAGAAUGCUUGUGACAAGGUUUCAAUACUGGGCAAUGGCUCUGCAGCUGAAUAUCACUGCCUUUGUACCACCACUCAGUCAUCCUCCACCACAAAAAUAAAACAAAUUUACAAAUGUGAGAAAGAUAAACAGAUGAAUCUUUUUUCUUCCUUUUUGAGAUGUGAACUUUAAAAUAAUUGAGUUUGUGUGUAUAUAUGUGUGUGUGAGUGUUCUGAUGUUAUUGUAUUGAUGUUUAUCAACUAUUUUUGCAGUAGAGUUGUGUCAUCUGAGAGAGAGAGAGAGAAAGAGAGAGGGAGAGAGGGAGGGAGAGAGAGAGACAGAGAGAAAACAUGCAUGCAUGCACACACCCAUGUGUACUUUCUAACUUGGUAGUAAGUUUAUAAUAAUUUACCAUAAGGUUAUAUUGCACUUCAUUUAAGUACUGAACUGAUUGUAUGUGCAUGUGUGCAAGUGUAUGCAUACAUACACACACAUACACACAAAACAAAUGGGUCUUUGUUUUCAAUGAUGAGUAUUUAGUUGUUUCUACUGGAUCAUUAAAUUGAGCAACAAAGGUGGAUCUUCAGAUUUGUUGUACAAUCCAUCUGCAUCCGUAUUCACUCACAAGGCAUGGGCCAGCUUGAGGCUAUGGUAAAAGACCCUCAAAAUGCCACAUGAUAGGAUCAAAUGUGAGAGCAUGUGAUUGUGAAGCAAGCUUCUAACUAUUUGGCCACAUUACAUCUACAUAUAUGCAUGCAUACAUACAGAAAUGCAUUCACACAUACAUACAUACAUACAUACAUACAUACAUACAUAAAUGCAUUCAUACAUGCAUGCAUAUAUAUGCAUACAUACAUUCAUUCAUUCAUUCAUUUGAAUGCAUAUUUAUUGUGAUAAGUACCAGUCUAGCACAGAGAACAAUUUGAUUAUCACUCACUCCAAAUUUGUAGCCUUAUUUUUUUUUUCUGCUGAUAUUGUGGCAUUCAUGUUCCUGCAGGACAUUGAGGUCACAUCACUCUCAACGGCUUGAGAGAUCCUGCAAAGAUCAUGACCACAGUUUCUCCUCCUCUGACUAACAUUUCGAAAACAAAAAUCAAACGAAAACAAAGAUACUAUGGAGUAUUUUGUGGAAUCAUAUUAAAGAAAAGUAUACAAAAAAUAUAAAAUAAUAUCUAAUUCUCAACAAAAUAAUUUUGAAUCUCCACUGUGCAACAACAGUCAACAAGAAAAUGUUAUCUUCUACUGAAAACUUACCUGUUGAAUAAAGUCUGUUAACAGGUGUUUUGUCUAGAAAGCACCUUUAAUUAGCCCAAAUAUUUCUCUAUUAUUAUUGAUGUUGUUGAGCCCCAAAUCAGCAUGGACCAAACAGAGCUAUGAUCAAUGGCAUUCCAGCCAUGAUCAUCUCAUCAUUUUUGUAUGACAUGGACCAUGAAACAGUAUGGUGUGGAUUGAAGAAUUAUUGAUUACUAUUUUGAAGCAGAUCAAGUGAUUGAUUCCUUCACCGACUUGUAUGGCUGCUGUGUUUUCUUGCAAUCAGAAUUUAUUUGGCAAAUUGUUUAAGGACAAAUAUAUGCUUCUUACCAUACAUAUAUGUGUGUGUGUGUGUGUGUUUGUGCAUAUGAGUGUAUGUGUGUGCAUGUAUAUACUUGAAAGGUGUUAAUGACAGGAGAAAGGGCAUUUUUUGUGAAACAAAGCUUCAAUGAUAUAUUUGUUUAACUCAGGUUUCCAUGCAAAGCUAGGAGU
rnacentral:lncRNA from 1 species